rnacentral:lncRNA from 1 species
UUUGGGGUAUAAAUUAAUGGAUUUCAUGUUUCACCUUUAAUUUUCUAUUUCUUAAGUAUUAUAUGCUGUGACUUGUGAUGAUGAUGACUCCUAUCUUCUUUAAUUGCUUAAUCCUUCAUGACCUAUAAGCUAAAGUACAUAGCUGUUGUGGGACAUGGAAAAAAGGCAAAAGCUGGUGUGAUCUUUGUAAUUCAUCACUAGCAAUGUUCUGGAAAAUUCCAAUUAAAGUAAUAUUUGAUCAAUUCUUGCAGAUUAGGUACCCUAGAACUAAGAGCUUGAGCAGACUUGUCUAUUGCAUAAAGAGAGUGAAGAAGCUUAACAUAACGUCCUUCAUUCCUUUUAUUCAGAAUUAGGAAAUUGAAUGAGAACGAAUCAAGUUACAGUAUUCGUCAGGAUGUCAAGAUCUUUCUAAACUUCUGACUCUGCUGAUACAAACAAUGGGAAUUCCUCCAAUGAGAGAAGCACAGGAACAUUGUCAAUUCUAAGAAAAUGAUCCUAGUUUUGAUUUCUGAAUAGGGGACAUGAGAGUGAUCUAAGUGAUCAUCCCAACAGCAACACCAUGUAUACAGAAGACCUAAGAAAGACCAAAACAAGAACAAAAUGACAUCAAAAUUAGGAAAGAAACAAAUGCAUCAAAAUCAUAACAAAGAUGUUAUAUUCUUGUAUCCUUGCCUUUCAAAUGUGACUAAUUGCUAAUCUUUCACUUUAUGCAAGCAGAAGCAUAACAAACACCAUCUCUGGUAAAAUGCUGACUGCCAAACCAAUACAGAGCAACCUCAUUCAAACAUGACCAGACUUGACCAAUUCAGUACUAGAAACAUAGAAGCCAUUGUAGUAGCGUCCUUUCCAUCUCCCUGUUUAAUACCAGUUAAGGUUUUAGGCACUGAAAAAGAAGAACCUUCCUCACUCCACCUUCCAUCCCCAACAACCUUUGAAAUAAUUUUGUUACAAAUUUAAGUAACAAAUCCUUAUUUAUUGAAAAGCAUAAGCCAAAAGAAAACACACCUGUUUCAUUUUGGUUAGGUAUAAGAUAUCACACAUUUUGACCUCAUACAAUCCACAAAAUGAUGUAAGAACAACUUGUAAUUUGCAGAUUACGAAGAGCGUCUCCUUUGUUUUACCCUCAGAAAAUGGACCAAAGCAAUUAAAAUAUUUCUCUAACCAUAAAUGUGCCCAUGUAUGCUUAUGUAAGAGAAAAUCAGAAAUCAGCCUUGCCCAUUCAAAAGGUAAUGUAAUUGAGUCAUGGAGAAUAUAUAAGUGACUUUGUUUGGUAUGAGCUACUUGGGAAGAAAUCUUUGUUCAUUCUUGAUAUCUUUGUUCUUGAUUUGUACCAAACAAACAGAGCAUAAAAUUGACUUUUUGUUAAUCUAUAAUUCUUGAAUAGAGUUGAGAAGUGUAUAAAGAUUCUUAUAAUUGUCCAUGAGUAGAGCUAUUGUGAUUGUCCAAGGGGAGUUGACCUUGGGUGUUGAAAAUUACCAAUGAAAGAGUUGAGGGCAUGUAUCUUGGGUGUUGUCUUCCGUGGGGAGUCAUUGAAGAAAGAUCAUUACCAAAUGUCUAGUGAGAACAUCAUAUUGAAAGCCUGUAGUAAAUAUUAAUAAAUUAGUCCCUAGAAUAGAAUUAGAGGCUCAUGAGUAUAUGGAAUAAGACAAGUCACUCAUUCACUACUACAAAAAUUGUAUACAAUGAUGUUCACUUUCUUGGCGCUUUUAAAAAGUGUCAACAUUUCCAACCUACAAUGGUGCUUGCUAGAAGGUUGGGUAAUAAUAGCGCUUAUUGUAUAAAUUCUUGGCGCUUUAUAAAAGCGUCCUUAAAAAAUUCACUUUUUUAUAUCUAAGACGCUUGGUAAAGUGUCAUUUGUUAACAUAUUAUAUAUACUUCUUUCUGAAAUUUCAUCACACUGCCAAACAUGUCCCCGAACAAAUCAAGUUCCCUUUCAAACCCACCAACACAUAUCGAGCUCUCUUUCACUCUGAGAAGAACUUUCGUGCUACAACCAGAUAUUGAAGACCUACCGGAGAGUGUAUUUCAUGCUGACACCCACACCAGGGGCAGUCUACUAGCAAUUUCUUUGAAACACCUAUGACAACAAAUUGCUCCAUUAUUAAAGUCCAAGAUUCUAGCAAUCGACUAGAAAUCGAACUUACAAUGAGUGGCCAGUGAGCAAAAUCAUUCCUUACAAAAUCUGUAUGAAACAAAUCCACCAUUGCCAAGCUCAUUCUCUUUUAACACAUUUUCAUGGUGAAGACUUUCAAACUUUGUCUAAGGUCAGUAAAUAUUCUCUUCUCAUCCUUUCCACUUGAAGCAUUGAAGUAUUCUUAUAGUUUCUGUCCAACCCUAAUUUCGUUUUUGCUAGCCCUAACUAUUGUUUUACAACUAAUUAAUUAAUUUAUUUUUUAUUGUUCAGCCCUAACUAUUUUACCUUAUACAUACGAUUUGGCUUGAAUAUUUAUGCCAAAGAUGACAUGUUAGGUUAAUGCUCUAAAUUUUCUCUUAUUUUUCUCUAUAUCAUAUAAAACAUCUUAGGAUUUGAAAGAAUUUUAUAGUUUUCUCAGUAUUACUUUAAAUUCUUGAAUUUCCUCUCUAAGGUUUCCUAAUUCAUUUUUUAAGAUUUCAAUAGCAGGAAUUUAAUGCCUAUUUUAACUUUUGAAGCAAGAAAAACUAACUUUGAGUGGCUGGAUUGUUAAUAUUCAGAACUGAAGUCAGACAUGAAACUGAUGUUUGAAAUUUUCAUUUGGUGCCCCAUAUGCUAUAAAGGCAGUGGUUUACAAGGUUGGUUUGUGGUUCAAUGGAAACUUCGUUGGCUUGACUUUAAUAUAUCCUGGAUAGGCAUUUUUCUGUAAGUGUGGUUAUAUUUAGAUAAGGAUUGAUUUGGUGUGAAUGGGUUCACUUCAAAAUUUGUAUAUUUUUGGCUAAACCAAACCAACCAAGCUAUAAUUUUUAUUAUAUUUUAGAACUUGGAUCACUUAAAAUCAAGAAUCUUUAAGAAGAAAAGUUUGAUACCCUGCCAAAUGAUCUUAAAUUCUAAGGAUUUAAGUAGUUAGAAAAAUAAAUGAAUCUUAAGAUGUUUAAUAUUUGAUUAAAGAUAAUGUUAGUUUAAGAAGAAAUAUAUAAUGAUAACAUGCCUUCAUCAUAUAAUUUUGUUGAGAGAAAAAAAAUAUCUACAAAAAGCUAAUAAAAGUGGGGCAGAGAAUAUUAAAAUUUGUGAAUGGAUUGACAUGAUUGGGAACAAUUCUUAGAUUAAUGGUCUUGCUGAAUACAUAAUAAUAUUGGUAGGUAGUGGAAAACAUGCACAACUUGGGUGAGAACAUUAAAUUUGGUAAUAACCCUGCAUCACAAUCCCAAGCAACUCUACAAGGCACAUUAACAAGUGGCACACACUUUGUUUACCCACAAAUCAUGAAAACAUGCUAUAAAACUUCAUUGGAAAAAUCUUUGUUUUUAAUUUUUUUAUGACUUGCGUUUAACCCACUUGAAAUUGCAAUUGUUGAGGAAUCAUGACUUAGUCCUUGUUUAUGAAUACAUUAGAACCAGUUGGUCAACUGCAAUACUUUCACAAAAUGGUUUACAUUUGCCAAGUUCUAAAGUAACAUGAUAAAUUUAAUAUUUUUUUUCCUUUGAUUGAUAAGAUAACAAAAUUUGGUUGAUGUUGUUCAUUAUUAUUUUUUAAAUAUUCUUUUCCCUCAUGGAGGCUUACAGUUGGUUAUUUUUAUUUUUAAUCUCAUUCACAUUUUGUGUUUGUGUACUUACAGUCUGAUGCAUAUUUCAUUAUAGGAAAGAAAUGAAAGUUUGUUAGCUAAGUAGAAGGUUAAAGUUGUUUUUUUUAGAACUUUGAUUUCUGGUUAUUUCAACAAUUCCUAUUCAAUAGUGUGCUUGCCUUUUUCCAAGUUGAAUUUUUCUCUUAGAAAAGCAUACUAGAAAGUUGUAAUGGUUUAAGUACAAAACCUAAGUAGAGAACCUUGCUCUUGUUUUUGUAGUUGAAGAAUCAAAUAAUAGCAGUUUCAUCAUCAAUGAGUUAUCUUACAAUAGCAAGUUGGAGAAAAGAACCAUUAGGUUUGAUUUUAGCUCUUCUACAUCUAUGGUUAGUAGGAGAGAGGUGAGCCCUCAAAAUGAUGGUUGUGAACCUUUGGAGUCUCAAAAUAUGUCUAGGCUUGAAGAUGGUUCUGAUUCUCUGUCAUUUCCUGGCCAAGUUCAAAGUGGGCUCCAAGAGUUAAGUUUCUCUGCAGCAGGGUGUUUAUCAGUUUUGAUCAGUAACCCUGGGUAGAUAGCACAUUCUGGUAACAUCUCUUUGCCAUCAGACCACUAGUACUAGUUCCUUUGCCUUCACCAUGUUAAUCACUUACAAACUAUCUUUUCUAUCAUUUCCACUGUAUUGUCAGCUAACUUCUUAUUUUAAAAACUUUUCUAUCAUUUCAUCCUAACUUAAUUAGAUGUUGUUAAGUUAGUUUAUUUUUAGGACUUUGAUAGUCCCAUGUAAUGUCAACUAACCUCUUAGUUUAAAAUUGUUUCCAUUAUUUUCAUCCUAAAAUGUUGAAUAAGCUAGCGUAUCUUAUAUGUUGCACAACUUCUCCCAAGGGAAUGGAAACAUCAUGAAUAUCACGAGGCUGUCAAAAAUUGGUACAAGCACCUCCUUGAGGUUAAGUGUAUUUUCAAGUAAGAUUUUCAUAUAGAUUUAUAAAUGUUCCUUUAUAUUUUGUUUCUUGGAGAAAAAAAAAACAAAGGAAGGUACGUGUGUUCUUUUAAACUGGUAUUUCAUUGCUUGAGAAAAAACAGAGUAGGCUUGAGAAAAAAGUUGAGGUAUUUCAUUGCCCAGUUUAUAAGUAGUAAGAGGAUUGAAAAAAGGGUGCUCACAUGAAAGUCAUAUGCUUUUCAUGACUUAAUUUAAUUCAUAAGUCUCUGGAAUGGAUUUAAAAGUACACGAGCAUAACCACUUUGUCCUAGCCAUAUAUUUGUUCUGCAAUUAUUUGGGAUAUGUUCCUAGAAAGCAUACUACAAAAAUCUAGUUUAAAAGCCAUUAAGGAAAACAUGCUUAUCCCAAUUAGCUUCAUCAUCUUUCUAUGUUUGUCUCCAUCCUUUAAAAACUAUUUAAAUAAGUGUGAUUUUAUCUUUUUAAUGUUGAUGUGCCUUGUAUAAAUAGGCCUCAACCUGUCAACACUUCUCAAUGGGAAAAUGAUAGGGUUAUAUCUAUUCGAUUUAAUCCUAAAGAACCAGAUGUCUUGGUAGCUUCCAAAUCAAUUACUAGUUUCUUUAUUUACUUAUUUCUUGAUUGUUUUGGGAUAAGAAAUGAGAAAGUUAAUUGAUAAAAUAGAAAAGCAACUAUAAGAAAAGAUAGGAAGCCUUCAAAACAAAGCAACCAAGAAUAAAUUCAAUAAAAACAUAAUACAAAGCAAACAAAGGAGCCAUCCAAAACCACUUAAGGGAGAAGAUGAUCUUCUCUAAAAUUCCCAAUAUUUGACCUCUUUUUGCCAAGAAUUCAACAUCCUAAUUGGCUUACCUAGGAAUUCAACUGUAACUUACCCCUAGAAUCUCUCUCAAGUAAUGACAUACCAUUAAGAACCCUUAUUUAUUGAGGUGGCCCAAGAAUUGACCACUAAAGAAUCUACUCUCAAUAAGCAUGUGUCUGAACCCUAUGGUUCAGGCCUCUUUGAAACUAUGCAUGCAAGAAAUUAUGAUUCAAUAGACUAAGCAUUUCUCUUUGGCUUACAUAUUUCACAAUAAUCACCAGCCCUUCACUGCUACUGUAAGGUAAAUAUUACCAGAAAACCUUUUGCAUUAGGCUUGCAGUUGUACUAAUUACUAACUGAAUCUUAAUUUUGUUGCUAAUAAACUAUAGACAUUGACCAUAUAAUUUAGGAUUACUGAUUGAACUAGCUAAGUAUUCUCCCCAUCUUGAUUAUCAUGAUUCCAAUAUAAAGGAAAUAAUUCAUAGCUCAAAUUUCCCCUUUGAAUCAAUAUGCUCUACUUCAUUUUCACACUAUAGACAGUUUUUUGAUCGAAAAAAAAACUUACCCUCUAUUUUUUUUUUUUUGACCAAAAAAAAAACUAACAUAGGAAUCCUCUAUAAUAAUAAAUAAAAAUAAAAACUUAACAACAAUAGCUGAGGGGCAUGGGAUUCCCAAAAUAAGACUAGUUUGAAACCCCUCUCACAUCAAUUUCUGCCUUUAGGCUUGCUCUGACUAUGGUAGCCUAGAUGUAUGGACUUCCCAAAACAAGACUCUGGAGCACUUGAGAACCUCUCACAUAAAUUUCUGCAUCCAACCUUACCUCACCUUGGAAUUGAGUGAAAGAACAAAACCUCAAACAGUAUCUGACUAGAGCAAAUAUUUUCACAAUGCCAAUAAGAAGAAUGCUCAUUCUUGGUAACUCAAAUUCAUAGGAGUUUGAAACUUUGAAUAUAUAUAGAUGGGAAUCCAUAUGUAUAGAUAGAUAUAGAAACACACACAAAUAUGGACAUGGAAAUGUUGAAGAAUCACUCUUUCUAAUUAAGAAAUUUACAACUACUCUAUCAUUUUACAUUAAUAGCCUCCAGACAAAAUUUUGUUAUUAAAAAAACAUGCAUUAGUUAGAGGAUUUAUACCAUUUCUUUGGCUUUUAACAACUUCUCAGUGGUGGGUGAUUCAACCAUAGUUAUGUCUCAAGUUUCUUAGAAAAUUUAGGCCCUUGGAACUGGGGCAAUUGGUCGUCCUUGUCUUCUGCUGGUUCAGUUGUAUUUUGUUGAUUCAAUUAUAUUGUUAGUUUUCUUCUUUAAGAUAUGGUCAUCCCUUACGUCCUUUUUUUAUCAUUAAUUAAUGGUUUUUGUUGUUCAUGAUCAGAAAGAGAGAAGGAAAAACAAAUAAACAUGGUUUCACACAAAUACUGUUAUGUUUCUCUUAUGGAGCAUUUUAUAUGCUAAUUUUCUUAGUUGAAACCAAAAAUUAUUUGGUAGUUUUAUCAAUUUUAACGUAUUUUCCUUUUCUAAUACAAACUCUAACAUAUAUUUUCUUGUUGCAGACAAGAACUAAUUCCAUUUCUUGGAAUCCAAUGGAACCCAUGAAUUUCACAACUGUAAGCAUAAUAAUUCAACUUAUACAUUUCUCUGUUUUUCUUUUUCCCCACUUCCUGUGGUAGUUUAUCAUUUGUAUUCAAUUUGAUGAUGCACUCUCCUCUAUAGAUGGGUUGUUGCAAUUAAGAUUCAUAAUUUUCUCUCUUUCACUUUGCAUUGCCAAGAACCAAAUGAAAGAGGAAUGAUUAGUUUUAAUAUAAUAUUGUAUUGAUUCCUUCAAAGAAAUUAAGAAUCUAGUAAAACUUUGUUUCAGGAAAUUUUUGAAAGUUCUGUUUUGGAUUUAACUCUUCUAAAUUCUAAGAGUUGUUGAUUCUUGAUGUCAUUCUUUUAAAAAAAUUUCAACCAGUCCCAAGUGAGUUGGCAGAUCAAGAGCAUAGAUAUUGUGAUGCUUUUGUCAAUGACUCAUUGUUCUAUUUUUUUUUUCUCUCCUUUGGACAAAUCGCAUGAUUUUAUUAUGAUAGCACAUAAACUAUUUUAAUUAAAGCAAAUAAUAUUAGGAUGGUACAUAGCUUAGUAAUAUUGGAUUUCAACUUCUAAUGUAAUCAAUGCCAACUGCAUUUCUUUAACAACUAAGGUGCGCAUUUACUUUAUUUUUGUUCCUUUCCUUCAAGGAGACCUAUCUUUUCUUGAAGUCUAGACUAGACAUUAAUUUGACUCUAGAUAGAGUUGAAUGACAGAAAAAAAUUUGUACAAAAGACUUCAAUUUGUUAGAGUUUAAGGCUUGUUUUGCCUAGUUUAUUUAUCUAUUUAUUUGACUAGAAUUAUCAAGUUUAUUUUUUAUCUAUAAUAUUUGUAUGCAUUGAGCCAAAGUAAGAUUCAUGGAUAUUGUUUCGCUGGUCCAAUGAUGAGUACACAUCCUUGCCAUCUUUUAUACGAGACUUGUUUUAAAUAAGUCCGUUUUUUAAUGAAGAUGGAUAAUGUUGUUAGAGGGGUAAGAUGUCGAAGCCCGUUGCUGUCCAAAGACUUGAGAUUCGGAAGAUUAGAUAUGUGAAGAGAGGUAAGUGUGGAGGGCAGUAGGGACUCAUUGGGAAAUGAUUCCAUGUCUUGGCAUCCAUCAUUGAUUGUGAAUUUUGUAAGAGAGGCCAGUCUUUGCAAACCCCAGUCCACCUGAGAUGUGAGUUGGUUGCAGGAUAAAAUUGCAACUUCACGCAGGUCGGAGGGCAAACCAUCUCUCUGAAACAACAAUUCUGGACAAUCUAUUAACCUCAAUUCCUGCAACGAUGAGUGUGUGUGCGCCAGCAACUUCAGCUUCCUGCAACUGGAGAUCUUAUAGCGUGCAGACUCCAGAGCAGGCAAUUCAAUAUAUUCAAGAUCAGGGUACUCUUUGAUUUCCAAACUAUUUAGAGACGUGGGAUCCCCCUCUGAAACGGAGAUGGAGAGGAAUUCAAGCCCUUCGAAAUUAGAGAUGUAGAGAUUGUUCAACCGUGGAAAGAUGCUUAAUGAGAAAGAUAAUGAGAAAUAAUUACGGCUGCUAACAGCAAGAAUAGAUAAAUGUUCAAGGAAUGGAUACGGCAUUCCUUGGUACACUCCCGUUUGGUACACUCCCAGAUAAUUAGUGACUUCAAUGUAGUGGGUAAACCAACACUGUGCAAGGGUCUGGAGAAACGACAACUUGUGAUGCGCAAAAGUUGGAGAAGACAAGUGCUUCUUCGUAGCAUUCCCUCCUCCAAUACCCACUCUAUCGAAUCACAUUCUCUGAUUGUUAGCAUCUGUAUUCGUGGUGGCAGUUCUUCAAAUUGAGAGAUGUCUGAAAUUUCAAUUUCUGAAGUUUCGAGAUCAGUGAACCCACAAGCUGGCCUUUUCAACCGAAAUUUACCAUGAUACGACAUUUUCCAUCCACGGAUUUGAGGAGCUUGGAGGGAGCCAACAAGCAACUCACAACCAAUUAUUACAAGUUUCUUCAAUGAACGAAGCUGUUUUGGUAAUUUCCCAGUGAGUUUGGGACAUUCAUUUAUACAAAGCUCCUGAAGACGAGGGAAUUCUCCACGUCUGCAUCCACAACAUAACCAUUUCUCCCAGUUGUACAUCUUCCCGAAUCUUAGAGUUUGUAGGGACGGGAAGGAGGGCUUAAUUGUGUUGGAGGAAGAAGCAUUUCCCAUAAAAUUCAUUACCCACCAUUUUAACUCCUUUCAUUUCUAAGAUAGAAAGAUGUUUAAGAGAGGGUAGCUGUCCGAGUGGUGGCAAUGACGAGCAAUUAUUACAAUUCUGAAGCCCCAGGUCAACAAGAUUGAAGAAUGAAGGAUCCUACCCAAUCUGGAAGGCUUAAACCACUAAAAGAAUUAAUAUGGAGUCUCUUGAGGUUUGUAUGUGGCUGUAAGCUGCUGAGUAUAUCCAUUCUACUUUGCACAACACCACCAACAUCAGUGUUCUCAUAAUCCAUACUCAAACUCCAACUCAUCAAGGUACUUUUUAUCCUUCAUAUUAGCUUCUAAUGCAUCCCUAUCACAUACAACAUUCUGCAGCUUUGAAAUGACAAGACUUCCCGAAAGCUCCCUCAAUGCUCCCAAUCUUAACCCACCAUUUUGGCCCACAAUAAAUGUAGAAAGUGAUUGUAAAUUCUUUAGCUUACAUAUAUCACUUGUCAUCUCUUUCACCAAAGUUUAACGAAUAUCAAGGUAACGCAAAUUAAUCAAUUUUUCCAUCCUUGAGGGUAAUUCAACAAGACAAUGACAUCCCAAUAACAUCAAUGUUUGUAAAUUGUAUAAAUUACAAACCGAUUCAGACAACAUUUGAAUCCUUGUCAUAGAGAGAUCUAGGUAGCGCAAGUGUUUCAACUUCUCAAUUGAAUGAAGCAAAUCAGUAAUCCAAUAAUAAUUCAAGCACAACACUCGUAAACAUUUCAUUUCCGGCAAUAGAUGGUGUAGAACUCUAUUACUUAAGUAAUGAAGUGAAAAGUAUCGAUAUUUGUUUCUUGGUAAAAAUGUUCGGAGACACUUAAUUUGAGAAAGUGGAUCAAAUCUCUUAUAGACAUCAUAUUUAGUAAUCAAAUAUGAUAAAUGACGAGUUUUCUCCAAGACUCUGUAUAUCUUACCAUCCUCCAAAGAAGUAGAAAAUUCUCCGGAUACCAAUUGUGCCAAGUCAUUAACGAGGUCGUGCAUUACAAAAACAUGACUUAUUUCUUAUUGAAUUUUGGAAAAAUGACUUUGAUAGAAGUUCUUGAAAGUACAAAUUACCUACCUCUUCCAUUCUUUUCUUGUUUUUUGAUUGUUCCAACAAACCUUCUGUCAUCCAUAACAAAACUAGCUUCUCCUUUUUGAAUUUGUAGUCUUUUGGAAAGAUUGAACAAUAAGAAAAACAACGUUUUAGAUGUGAAGGAAGGUAAUAAUAACUCAACCUCAGAGCAGGAAGAACAGCAUCUGUGGGUAAAUCCCAUAAUUCACUAUUUAAUACAUCAUCCCAUUCUCUUGCUUCAACCUUGGAGUGUUGGAGACUCCCCAUUGCUUUUAUAGCCAGCGGUAGACCUUGGCACUUGUGGACAAUCUUUUCUCCGAUUGCUUCUAGUUGUGGAUGCCCACUUGAGUUUCCAUUUUCAAAUGCAAGUUUUUUGAACAGGGACCAACCAUCUUCAGAGGAUAACCCACCUAAACAACGAGUAUGGACUGCACGCAUGGCAAAUGCAACAUUGGUGCUUCGCGUAGUUACAAUAAUCUUGCUUCCCUUUGCCCCGACUAUGAGUGGAGUUUGUAGUGUAUCCCAGUCACAAGAGUCUUCGUUCCAAACAUCAUCCAGUACAAGUAAAAAAUUCUUCAUAUUAAUUCUUUCCUUCAGUUGAACCUGAAGUAGAUUUAGAUCAGUGGUAUUGGACGUGGAUGAAUUGAUUGCCUCGAGAAUUGUUUUCUUAACUCUGAUAGGAUCAAAUUCUUCGGAAACACAAACCCAUGCCUUGAUUUCGAAGUGUUCCUUCACCCUUUGGUCAUUGUAGAGCAGCUGGGCAAGUGUGGUUUUUCCCGUGCCACCCAUGCCGACUAUGGAGAUCACACCCAUCGCAUCAGUACUCCUUGCAUUAUCAGACAGCAACAGUUGAACCAUCUCCUCCUUAAUUUGAGCCCUGCCAUAGACAAGAGAUUCAUCUCCCAAAGAAGUAGAAGGCCACCUUUGUGCCAAUUUCUCACCAACGCCUUCUUUCAACCCGAGGACGUCUCUGUCUUGUGCGAUAUCGUCUAGUCUACCAAUGAUCUCCUCCACCCUAGAGUUUAUGCUUUGAAUAUCAAGUGGAGGAUGAACCCAGGUAGACAUGCUGGUCAGGGUGUCCGCAGCUUCUAUCUUGCAUCGUAGAUCUUCAGUGGCGAUCUCAUCCAAUACAUCCUCAGCAUCAUAGACAACAACUUUGAGCUCAUGCAUCCACUCUUUGACUGCUGGGUUUGUAAUUUGCUUGGCCUCCGCAUCAUUGAGCACAGCAUGGACAGUCGCAGUUUCCUCUUCAACUUCUUGAGGAGUGCAUCAUCGAGCUCGUGUCCCCUGAUGAAUUUCACCACCUCGCGAGAAGCCAACCUGUCAAAUAGAACUUGUAGAGAAGCUGAGAGAAAAGCACCUCCAACCAAAGCCGCAGCCAUGUCUGUUUCUUUGCAAAGGAAGUGAAAGGCGAAUGAGGGAAAAUGAAGGUAAGCAGAUCCAAAAUGGAACCCCCAAACCAGAAAAAGAACAAUUCAGUUGUGUAUUAAGAUCUUUUUUGGCUUUUUUAUCCUCAUAUUCUUUAUGGAUGGGGACUUGUUCCUAAACAUUUGAAGUGAACUGAUCCAUUUUUUACCAUAAUCCUUUGAAUUAAUGAUUCAUCAUGGUAGAGGUCUAGAUGGUUUCUUGAGGUGUGCUCUUUCUUUGUUAAUCUGGGGUUCUAUUUUAUCUUGUGGCAAAAUAAAACAGAUGUGUCCAACCAGUUCGGAAUUAUUUUAAUAUGACUAUCAAAUCUGUGGAUGUGCAAAAGCAUAACCAGGCUCUCCGAGUUCUUUGCCUGGAGGGUUUGCAUUUGUGCUAAACAAAAUGAUUUUUCAUAUCCCCCUAUAAUUGAUGAUCUGUUGGGAUUUGCAUAAUGUUUUGAUAGGCAAAUUAGAUAUAUGUGAAUGAGCGACCUAUCAAAUAGGGCAGUAGGGACGUAAAAUAUUGUGAUUCGAUCAAUCAUGCCUACCUUCAUAGAUACAAGAUAACAUUUCACUAUAUGAUAGAAAAUAUUAUAGAUGAUAUAAAUAAUUACAACUAUUGGAUUUCAAAAUAUUUUACGUUUCCCCACUCUUUGUAUUUUCAUCCUAAAUCAUGAGCUAUUUCACUCCAUCCGGUGUCUCCCACUUUUUCUCGUAUCUACACUCUAAACCGUAAGUCCUCUUACUCUAUCAAAUGUCUCUUACUCCUUUUCACAUCUCUAUCCAUGAUAUAUAAUCUUUGCAAACUUACUUCUAUCAUAUCUCUUCUCAUAAAUUUUUUUAACUUGAUCAUAGCCUAGAAUAUUUAGAGAGAUGCUCCUAUUUGCUUUACUUAUUCUAUAAAGAAUCUAAUUACAAUCACAUAUCAACUUAGGAAAUAUUUUAUAUAAUAUUCCUCUUUGACUGCUGGAUUUGUAAUUUGCUUCGCCUUGGCAUCAAUGAGCAUGACAUGGACAGAUAAUAGUUUUCUCUUCAACUUCUUGAGGAGUGCAUGAUUGAGCUUGUGCACCGUGAUGAAGUUGAGCAACUUGCGAGAAGCCAAGCUAUGAAAUAGAACUUGGAGAGAAGCUUAGCGAAAAGCACCUCCAACCAAAGCCCCAUCCAUGUCUGUUUCUCUGGCAAAAGGAAGUGAAAGAUGAAUCGAGGGAAGAAAAUAAGCACACCCAAGAUGAAACCUCCAAACCAGAAAAGAUCGGUUCAGGUGAAGUUUCCAAUGGUUGAAUGAAUUAUUGGACACCGUGGUAGAGCCCAGACUUCUGCAUUGUUGACAAAACAUCACAGUUCAGUGGUCCAUGAAAUGAAUACAAGGGAGAAAGAAAGAAAGAGAAAGGGGAUGUAAACAAAAGUCAGACAUGCAUAUGUGAACUUACAAAUCCUAUAUCCUUUUAUUAAUAAAACAGUUGAAAAUUUUACCAUAUUUAUAUUAAAUCAUGAUAAGAAUAAAAUGUAAAUUUAUUAAUAUUUUUAUUUUAUUAGUUCGUAAAUUAUAAUAUUUAAUUAUUAAAAAAUAUAUUAUAUGUCAAGAAAAGAAUAAGAUUUAAAAAAAAAAUUACAUGAAUAUUCAAUAUAUUCAUUUAAAAUAAUUAGUGUUAUUAAAAAAACCAUGUUUCAGGGUGAACCUAACCUAUUUUUAAUUUUUCUUUCUAGAAAAGCAUGUUUUUACACAUAAAUUCCAAAGCCAGACAACGACGUGUCUUUGAAUUUUCAAAUAAUUGGGAUCCACUGCUUUCAAUGUUUGAGAAAAUAAUAACAAAAGAUGGAGCUGCCACUUCUAAUGUCUGAGGGUAAAACAUGGAAUCGACUGCUACUUUCACAUUAAAGGGGAAAGCAAAUGGGGGCAUCGUACAUCUAAGAUCUUGUUGAAUAGUAAUCUAAAUUGUCUAUCACUCCAAAGCCGCACAUGAUGGAGGGUAUUAAAAGCAUAAUAUGCAUAUUAAAUUUAAAUCAUAAAAGUUUAAACUUUUAGAAAAAUUGGUUGUUUAACAAGGUCGAUAGCUCAAGUGGUUCUCUGUCAAUUUAAAUGAUGAGAUUGUUCAAUUUUUCAAUGGUAGGAUGAUUAGUUAAUAGUCCAAGAAGUUGAAUUGUCCAAUUGGAUUCUAUUUUCAAAACCUUGACUAUUAAGCAAUCACAUGCAAUUUCUAGAUAGAUUGUGAUUCUUGUAUUAAAGUACAAUAGAAUUGUUAGUGCAUAAAAAAUUUUUAUAUGUAGAUAUUAUCGAACAUUUUCUAACAUUUUCAAAAGUUAUUUUAAGGGAUAAAAUUCUAUUUGAAAAUGAAAAUAUGAAAAAUAGUUUUAUUGGUUUAUUUUUCAUAAAAGUACUAUAAUUCCAAAAGUUUUCAAAGUAUUUUACAUCUUUUCGAUUGUUACUCACAAUUCAAGCAUGCAUAAAAAAUAACUAAAAACAUCUUAAAUUUGUUAUAAAAACUUAUGUUUAGAAUAAAUUCUCAAAAAAAUAUUUUUUUUUCAACAAAAAAAGCUUUAUGAAAAUAAAAAGCUAUUUUCAAGAACCAUUACCAAGCAAGCCUAUGUUGCUGUGGAUGCUUUGGACAAAAUAAGAAAAAAAAGAAAAAAAGGUUUUUUUUUUAAUACUAUUUGAAAUCAUAAAAAGACCAUAACCUUGCAUACAAUAUAUGGGUCAAGGCCUUCUAAAAUAAAUAAUUUAUUUUUAUUUGGUCAUUCAUCACCAUUUUCAUUGAUUGAAAUUAUUUCGUAGACUUGGUUGUUGACUUGGGAAUUCACAUCAACCCAUAUGGACCUCAUAUUCACCUACCAGAGAUGAAUGAAAAUAAAGGCCAAAUAUGAAAGGCAAGUGGUGGUGGUAGGAAGACUCUUAUCAAUAACUUAUAUCAGGUACCGGAGCUUAGGGCAACUGUAGACCAAUGUCAUCCUGAAUCCUAUCAAUCCUUGUUACUGACUGUUGGGGUUGUCACUUAAGAAAAUAUCAAUCAAAUGAUGCAUUCGCAAAUCUAAGUCUCCAACAAGGUUCAAAUUAUUAUUAACAUCACAACCAUUAUUAAACCCAUGUGCAAGCAAGAAGGCUGCUCGUGCGGCUAGGCGUUCACAGGGUUAGCCCAAUUUGUUGAAUCUAUAGUUUAACAUACAGACAUUCGUUUCACAUCAUUUGAUGGCCCUUUAUAGAUUAUCUAUAAAUUCAGAGUACUUAGGAUUUGAAGGCCGCGAAGGGAAAAAGGAUAGUGAUAAAGAACGAACCAUUGUUGGACCUUGAGAAAUAUUUUGUGGGCACACUGUUCCAUCAUUUGGCCUCAACCAAAAUCUUCAACAUGUCAAAGCCAUGUUGUACAAAAUUCCUUACGGGUUAAUAUUUGUCGACACACUUCUGCCAUGAAUAUAUAAGCUGAUGGUAUUAGAGCUCUCCACAUUAUUGAGACAAAUGGGCUCCUGCCUUGAAACAGUUGAAUUUUCCAAGAAAAUGAAAAUUUAUCCUAGUCAAGUUCCAAUGACCCAUCCUUAUAUUUGCUUGCUCAUUUUUCCAUUUUUGCAGUUUAUUCUUUUUCUCCUUAAUUUUCUAAGCACUAAUGGAUGCUAAUCUCAAAUAACGUAAAUGCAGCAUUCUUGUUUGCCAGACAAAUCCUCAUGAGUGAGCUAGCACUAGCCAACCCUGUGGAUAUGGAAAACAUUGUAGUUAGGUGUGGCGAACAAGUCUUAGAGCUCCUGGACCGUUCUGAUGAGGCAGGAAUUGAAGAAAUUGUUGAAAAUUUUCAAGAGAUGGUGAGGAAGCCUCCAACAGCAACAAGCUUCAAGCAAGGAAAGCAGUUAUGAGCAGGAUGUUGGUGAAGAGCCUGCACCCAUGCUUGAGAGAGUACCCCAUCUUGUUUAUUUGGCGGCCAAGAGGAGUGGUGCUUGCAGGGAAUGGCCCUCAAGGAAGAAAAUUAGCAGAAAUGGCACUAUGGCGGAUGGGAGCUGUUGAUCAGACUGAUAUCUUCUUACCGGGUUUCAUUUUCAUUAAAUUAAAUAAAAUGGGGGUAAUUCAUAAUCAUCCGGUUAAGAUUGAUCUAAACCAGUGCCUUUAUCCUUUUUUUAGGUUCAUUAGGGUUCUGAAUUGAAGUAAUAAUAUUAUUGAAUCAUCAGAACUAUUUCGAUAUUUCUUUUUUGGUUCCUAUACAUGGCAUCUUUGUGAAUCCAUACGACUUUCGUUCUUCCCCAUUUCUUUGUUCCGAACCAUUCGUUUCUUUGAAUUCUUCGCUCUUUUUCUUGAUUUCAUCCCUUUUCUAUAUUCAUUCAAUUCAUAGUCAUAGACGAAACGGAAGGACUUCUAUUAGAAAAGUGGUGGCAGCUACUAUAAUAUUAGUGGCAGCAGCCCCAUGGUGUCAGUUAAUUUUCAUGGGCAAUGGUAUACAUAUCUGACUGAUAACAUGUGAUUGGUUUGACCUGAAGAAGAAUGAAGUUAAUUAUAGGGUGGAAAGAAGAAAAUAAUGAACACACCUGUACAUAGUAGUGGCUGUACAUUUAGGAUAUAAAUUAUUGCAGUGUAUGAAGAUAUUAGGAGUUACUAGAUGCAAAGUUGGUUAGAACUAUUGUGAUUGUUCAUAUAUCAAGAUGGUCUGUGUCUUUGCCACUGUCUUCCAAGGGGAGAACCAUGGGGUACUGUUUCAUUGGGAAGAAAGAUCAUUUCCAAAUUUCUAGUGAGAAAAUCAAAUUGAAAGCCUGCAGUGAAUAUCAAUAAAUUGGUCCAUGGAAGAGAAUUUGAGGCUCAUGAGUAUAUAACAAGAGGACAAGUCACUUAUUAUACCUGGAGUGCUGCCUGGCACCAUUUCUUAUGACCAUAGGCAACAACUUUAAAGUUAAUUUGUGUAUAAGGACAUUUGAGACCAAUCUUAAUAUUAAAGAACAAGAUGUUGAACAUCAACAUCUGUCAAGGAUCGGAGUUCAGGGCAAGUAGAUAUGUCCUUAAAGGAUCAGUUAGAUUUCAAUCACAACUGACCUGAAAUUGGCUAGAUCAACACAUAUUUAGAGGUGCUUUGACUUCUUCUAUGUCCCUGCCUUAUAGGGAAGAAAAUAUUUAAAAAUCCACAUAAUCAUUGGUAAGUACAAGAAGACAUUCAACAGACAAAGAUUUUGAAUUUGAGGAACCAAUCUGUCUCUAGAAAAGUAAGGGGAGAAAAAACACUGAUAAACAAAUUUUACAUACCCUUUCCAGAGCAACAAAUCCCCUAAGUUGUAAGUUGAAUCCCACCAACCAGAAAAUCCCCUUGUUCGUCCACUUUAAAGAUCUAGCACGUACACACAUCAAGACUAUUAUAAGAUGCUAGUUUCCCAACAGUUUUUUGUAUCAUGAAGCUCUGAACCAUCUCAACCAAAAGGAUAUUCAUCAAUCUAAGGACAUCCAUCAAUCUAAUAGUUCAUCAUUAUUUGCAAAACACAGCUUUGCAUGAAACAAUGACACCAAACAAUAAAGAGAAAAGGACUACUGAGUCAGACAUCUGUUUUCCAUUGGAGGGGGUGCCUGACUCAAGAAGAUGGAGUUAAAGCGUGAUUGGAAUUGGAAAGGUCAUAACCACCUGAAAGAAAAUAAUCACGAAGACAUGGACAGAUGCACAUAAAAUGUGUGUAUCCAUCAACAAAUGGUUAAUUGAAAGGAAGACAUUAUUUUAAAACCAAAAGAAUUUUGGGUUUCUUAGCUUUGGUAGUAGCAUACCCGCCAUCUUCUUGUUUAAUACAAAUCAUGUUCCUAGCACUAAAACAGGAGCAUCUUCAGGCGCCUUUGCAGAAGCUUUCAGCACCAGUUAAUGAAGGUGACUCAUGAGGGAUGAUCAAAGGGCUGGCUGAGAUAUCUGAAACAGAAGACAUGUUUAUUAUUUGUCUGUGAAUAACUAGUCAGAGGCAUGUUUCGGUAUCAUUUGGGGUAUAAGUGAAUGGAUUUCAUUUUUCACCUUUAAUUUUCUAUUUCUUAUUUAUUAUAUGCUGUGACUUGUGAUGAUGAUGACUCCUAUUGUCUUUAAUUGCUUAAUCCUUCAUGACCCAUAAGCAAAAGUACAUAGUUAUUGCGGGACAAGGAAACAAGGAAAAAGAUGGUGUGAUCCCUGUAAUUCAUCACUAACAGAGUUCUGGAAAUUCCAAUUCAAGUAAUAUUUGAUCAUAUCUUGCAUAUUAGGUACUCUAACUAAGAACUUCAAUGAGAGCCAAGACUUCCUCCAAUGAGAAGAACAGGAACAUUGUCAAUUCUAAGAAAAGGAUCCUGUUUUUGAGUGGGGUACAUGACAGUGAUCUAAGUGAUCAUCCCAACAGCAACACAACGUAUACAGAAGACAUAAGAAAAACCAAAACAAGAACAAAAUGAAAUCAAAAUUAGGAAAGAAAUAAAUGCAGUAAAAUCAUAACAAAGAUGCUAUAUUCCUGUAUCCUUGCCUUUCAAAUGUGGCUAACUGCUGAUCUCUCCCUUUAUGCAAGCAGAAGCACAGUAAACACCAUCUCUGGUAAAAUGCUGACUGCAAAACCAAAACAGAGCAACCUCAGUCAAACAUGACCUAACUUAACCAAUUAAACACCAUCUUCUACUUUCCAUCUCCCUGUUCAAUACCAGUUAAGCUCUCAGGCACUAAAAGAGCAGCAUCUUCCUCACUCCACCUUCCAUCCCCAACAACCUUUGAAAUAAUUUUAUUACAAAUUAAAGCAACAAAUGCCUUAGUUAUCGAAAAGUAUAAGCCCAAAGAAAACAUACCUGUUACUUUCUGGUGGGUAUAAGAUAUCACACAUUUCAGCCUCAUACAACCUACAAAGUGAUGUAAGAACAACUUGUAAUUUGCAGAUUACAAAGAGAGUCUCCCCUGUUGUACCCUCAGAAAAUGGACCAAAGAAAUUAAAAUAUUUCUCUAACCAUAAAUUAGCUAAAAAAAAUGCACCCAUGCACCAGAUGUCACACACAACUGACCUGAACUUGGCAAGAUUGAAAUGGAAUAGUUCCCAAUGACCAGAAUUAAGAGGUGCUUUGAAGUCUUUCUUCUACAAAUACAAGAAGACCUCAAUAUGUUGUAUCAUGACAAUGUACGAGUGAAGGAAGGGGGCACAGUAGAAGAUGGUGGCAUCAAGUCAAAGGAUGAAAUUUGAGUUUGAGGCACUGGGCCAUUCCAGAUCAACACAAAUUGGACUUAAAAUAGAGACCAAAAGAAAUUGAAUGAUAGGCUUUUUGGAGGGAUCCCUUAUUCUAAUUUCAUAAAUUCUUAUAUUCUAAUUCUGUUUCAAAAUCAGAAAUGUAAAAUAAAUUCAUUUAAAUUAUUUAUAGUCACUUGAUAUAUUUCUCCUUAUCAAAACAAAAAUGUGUUUCUCAUAAGAAAUCUUUCAUGUUCUUCCUAGAUACUUAAUAUGAGACGGGAGAGGAGAAACGGUGAUUAACUUGAUAUGGAAGGGAGAAAAGAUACAAUAUCUUGAUUCUAAUUCAACUCCUUUGAAAAAAUAACUUGCAAAAGGCUCCAAAUAAACACCCAUAUAAUUCUAAAUUGUUUUCAUGCAAUGGUUAGAUCUAGAGUGUAUUUGUGAUGCAGGUAAAAUUCCAAGCACAUUUGACCAGAGAUACAAAUAGGCAAUACCUAAGGUAUUUGAAGAUGUACUAGUGUUUAAAUCACUGAUAUUCCAAAGCAAAUACAUAAACCUGCAAAACCUUUUUAGUCUUAAUAUUCAUGUAACUUAGAGGCCAAACAAGGUUAAUAAUGUCAUCAAAUUAAAUCUUUGGUAAUGGUACCUUUUUGUUAGGCAUUGCCUUACAAUAUGGAAAUGUUGCAAUUGUCCUUACAAAAUUGGCCUUUUAAGCGAAAAAUACACCAGCCUCAUAGCACCUGUAGAAUGAUGUGUAAAUGAUUGUAAGUAUGGCAGAAAGUUAAAUCUCCAUUUUUAAGGAUGGAAAAGGGAUCAACAAGUACAAAUCUAAAGUAGGCCACAAAAAAGAAAUAAAGAAAUUAAAAUGUUUAACUGACCAUAAACUACCAGAAAUUCCUCCAUGUUUGCCUGUAUCACAGAAAUAUAUGGAUAAAUUCAGGAAUCACCUCUGCCCAUUAUAAAGGUAAAUUGACCAAGCCAUUGAAAUAUUUCACUCAUCUAUGUUAAAAUGCAAGCACCUAUUGUCAGUCUUCCUCCACACCUCUUCACUUCUUUGUUUUCAGGCUUGUAGCAUAAGAGAAAAUAUCUGAAGUCAAAGGGCAGAAUUCUGCACCCUCAAAUCUCCAACAACAGGGCAGGAAAUAUUGACGCAGGGCAUAUUGUAAAUUUCCAAUGGAAUAGUCUCAGAUGUGUGUGUUUGCUUCUGCCUUUCCAGGGGGAGACUCAUGAAAUAUUGUUUGAUUGGAAAGAUCAUAGUCAUAUAUCAAGAACACAAGUCUCUGAUACGUGGAGGGCUACUUGGCACCUUGUCUGUCUCACCAUAGGCAAUGGAAUCUUACAAGUUUGUGUAUAAGGAGACUUGUGUUAACCUGAGAAACAUCAAUAUGUUACCACAAUAGAAAUGAUUAGAAAUUCAGACGCACAAGUUUGGCUACUUUAAUAAAUUGGCACGUCAGUGUUUCUUUUUUUUUUGGAGUGUAGGACAAGUACCUGACUGACUGUAUGGCACACCCAAGUCUUAAUGUAUGUGGAAUCACCACCUUCAUUAGUCACUAGUAUAGCACACGAUCUAUUACUAUGCGUGGAAUGUGAGCUAUAUAUUCCCAAUCUUGGCCUUUCUCAAAUUGGCACCUAUGCCUCAACAAAGGACAACUCUGGAUUUCCAGGAAAGAGAGCGAGUUUGGCAGUCUCUCGUUUGUCAAGUAUUGGAGAUUAUGGUAGCGGGAGAUAGACAAUGCUUUAAGAGAGGUGAGGUGUUGAAGACCUACUUCUCUCAAGGAUUCAAGCAUAGGGAGUGAGUACAUCUGUAAAUUUUCAAGAGAGGUAAGAUGUUGAAGCCCCUCUUCUCCGAAGGAUUGGAACUUAGGGCACUUGGAGAUGUAUAAUGUUGAUAGAGAGGUAAGAUGUCGAAGCCCGUUGCUGUCCAGAGACUUGAGAUUUGGAAGAUUAGAUAUGUAAAGAGAGGUAAGUGUGGAGGGCAGUAGGGACUCAUUGGGAAAUGAUUCCAUGUCUCGGCAUCCAUCAUUGAUUGUGAAUAUUGUAAGAGAGGCCAGUCUUUGCAAACCCCAAUCCACCUGAGAUGUGAGUUGGUUGCAGGAUGAAAUUUCAAGAUCACGUAGGUCGGAGGGCAAACCAUCUCUCUGAAACAACAAUUCUGGACAAUCUAUUAACCGCAAUUCCUGCAACGAUGAGUGUGUAUGCGCCAGCAACUUCAGCUUCCUACAUCUGGAGAUCUCAUAGCGUGCAGACUCGAGAGCGGGCAAUUCAAUAUAUAUCAGAUCAGGACAGUCUUCGAUAGUUAAAUAAUUAAGAGACGUGGGAUCCCUCUCAGAAACGGAGAUGGAGAGGAAUUCAAACCCUUCAAAAUCAGAGAUGUUGAGACUGUUCAACCGUGGGAAGAUGCUUAAUGAGAAAGAUAAUGAGAAAGAAUUACAGCUGCUAACAUCAGAAAUGGAUAAACGUUUAAGGAAUGGAUGGUGAGAUCUCAAUAGCGCAUGCAGGAGAAACUCCAGUUUGGUACACUUACAGAUAUGGAGUGACUUCAAUGUAGUGGGCAAACCAACACUGUGCAAGGGUCUGGAGAAACGACAACUUGUGAUGUGCAAAUGUUGGAGAAGACAUGUGCUUCUUUGUAGCAUCCCCUCCUCCAAUACCCACUCUAUCGAAUCACAUUCUCUGAUUGUUAGUAUCUGUAUUCGUGGUGGCAGUUCCUCCCAUUGAGAGAUGUGUGAAAUUUCAAUUUCUGAAGUCUGGAGAUUAGUGAACCCACAAGCUGUCCUUUUCAACCGAAAUUUACCAUGAUACGACAUUUUCCAUUCACGGAUUCGAGGAGCUCGGAGGGAGCCCAAAAGCAACUCACAAUCAAUGAUUUCAAGUUUCUUCAAUGAACGAAGCUGUUUUGGUAAUUUCCCAAUGAGUUUGGGACAUUCAUUUAUACAAAGCUUCUGAAGACGAGGGAAUUCUCCACGUCUGCAUCCACAACAUAACCAUUUCUCCCAGUUGUACAUCCUCUCGAACCUUAGAGUUUGUAGGGACGGGAAGGAGGGCUUAAUUGUGUUGGAGGAAGAAGCAUUCCCAUAAAAUUCACUACCCACCAUUUUAACUCCUUUCAUUUGUAAGAUAGAAAGAUGUUUAAGAGAGGGUAGCUGCCCGAGUGGUGGCAAUGACGAGCAAUUGUUACAAUUCUGAAGCCCCAGGUCAACAAGAUUGAAGAAUGAAGGAUCUCCUACCCAAACUGGAAAGCUUAAACCACUAAAAGAAUUAAUAUGGAGUCUCUUGACGUUUGUAUGUGGCUGUAAGCUGCUGAGUAUAUCCCUUCUAUUUUGCACAACACCAACAUCAGUGUUCUCAUUAUCCCACUCAAACUUCAACUCAUCAAGGUACUUUUUAUCCUUCAUAUUGGCUUCUAAUGCAUCCUCAUCACAUGCUACAUUCUCUAGCUUUGAAAGGACAAGACUUCCUGAAAGUUCCCUCAAUGCUCCCAAACUUAACCCACCAUUUUGGCCCACAAUAAAUGUAGAAAGGGAUUGUAAAUUCUUUAGCUUACAUAUAUCACUUGGCAUCUCUUUCACCCCGGUACCAAUAAUAUCAAGGUAACGCAAAUUAAUCAAUUUUUCCAUCCUUAAAGGUAAUUCAAUGAGAAGCACACAAUUUGAUAACAUCAUUGUUUGUAAAUUGUAUAAAUUACAAACUGAUUUAGGCAACUUUUGAAUCAUUGUCGUAGAGAGAUCCAAGUAGCGCAAGUGUUUCAACUUCUCAAUCGAAUGAGGCAAAUCAGUAAUACGAUAAUUAUUCAAACACAACACUCGUAAACAUUUCAUUUCCGGCAAUAGAUGGUGUAGAACUCUAUUACUUAAGUAUUGAUAUGCAAGGUGCCAAUAUUCGCCUCUUGCUAAAAAUGUUCGGAGAUACUUAAUUUGAGAAAGUGGGUCAAAUCUCUCAUAUACAUCAUAUGGACUAAUCAAAUACGAUAAAUGAUGAGUCUUCUCUGAGACUUUGUCCAUCUUACCAUCCUCCAAAGAAAUAGAAAAUUCUCCGGAUACCAAUUGUGCCAAGUCCUUAACAAGGUCAUGCAUUACAAAACAUGACUCAUUGCUAAUUGAAUUUUGAAAAAAUGACUUUGAUAAAAGUUCUUGAAAGUACAAAUUGCCUACCUCCUCCAUUCUUUUCUUGCUUUUUGAUUGUUCCAACAAACCUUCUGCCAUCCAUAACAAAACAAGCUUCUUCUUUUUGAAUUCGUAGUUUUUGGGAAAGAUUGAACAAUAAGAAAAACAACAUUUUAGAUGUGAAGGCAGGUAAUAAUAACUCAACCUCAGAGCAGGAAGAACCGCAUCUGUGGGCAAAUCCCAUAAUUCACUGUUUAAUACAUCAUCCCAUUCUCUUGCUUCAACCUUGGAGUGUAAGAGACUCCCCAUUGCUUUUAUAGCCAGCGGUAGACCUUGGCACUUGUGGACAAUCUUUUCUCCGAUUGCUUCUAGUUGUGGAUGCCCACUUGAGUCUCCAUUUUCAAAUGCAAGUUUUUUGAACAGGGACCAACCAUCUUCAAAGGAUAACCCACCUAAACAAUGAGUAUGGACUGCACGCAUGGCAGAUGCAACCUUGGUGCUUCGCGUAGUUACAAUAAUCUUGCUUCCCUUUGCCCCGACUAUGAGUGGAGUUCGUAGCGCAUCCCAGUCACAAGAGUCUUCGUUCCAAACAUCAUCUAGGACAAGUAGAGAUUUCUUCAUAUUAAUUCUCUCCUUCAGUUGAACCUGAAGUAGAUUUAGAUCAGUGGUAUUGGACGUGGAUGAAUUGAUUGCCUCGAGAAUUGUUUUCGUAACUCUGAUAGGAUCAAAUUCUUCGGAAACACAAACCCAUGCCUUGAGAUCGAAGUGUUUCUUCACCCUUUGGUCAUUGUAGAGCAGCUGGGCAAGUGUGGUUUUGCCUGUGCCACCCAUGCCGACUAUGGAGAUCACACCCAUGGCAUCAGUACUCCUUGCAUUAUCAGACAGCAACAGUUGAACCAUCUUCUCCUUAAUUUGAUCCCUGCCAUAGACAAGAGAUUCAUCUACCAAAGAAGUAGAAGGCCACCUUUGUGCCAAUUUCUCACCAACGCCUUCUUUCAACCCGAGGACGUCUCUGUCUCGUGCCAUAUCUUCUAGUCUAUCAAUGAUCUCCUCCACCCUAGACUCUAUGCCCCGACCAUCAAAUGGAGCGAGAACCCACGUUGACAUGUCCAUGAUGUUACCCACCUGACUUGUGCUGGUUUGGGACUCCGCAGCCUCCACCUUGUGUCGCAAAGCCUCUGUGGCGAUCUCAUCCAAUAUGUCCUCCGCAUCAUACACGACCUCUUUAAGCAAGACCAGCCACUUCUUCACAUAUGGAUUUGUAAACUGUUUGACCUCAGCAUCGUUGAGCACUGCAUGGACGACCAACAACUUCCUUUCCAACUUCUUCAGGAGCACAUCGCUGAGCUUCUGCCCCCGGAUGAAGCUCACAACCUCGCGAGAAGCCAACCUGUCAAAUAGAACUUGGAGAGAAGCUGAGAGAAACGCACCUCCAACUAAAGCCCCUGCCAUUUCUGUUUCUCUUGCAAAGGAAGUGAACGAUGAAUUGAGGGAAGAAGAAAUUACGCAGACCCAAAAUGAAACCUCCAAACCAGAAAAAGAUAGGUUUGUAUAGAGAAAAUGCAACUUGUUGGUAGUAAAAUAACUUUGGAUUCCAAGGUACUUUCGUGGAAGACCCCGUACGUCUGCUUUCUGCCAACAUCAUUGGUCAAUGAUUAAUAGUAUUGUUUCACUGGGCUUUUUUAAUGGUUGGAAAUGAUUUUCAUCCAUUGAGGUGCAAAUUAUAAUUAAUAGACUUGACAUUCACCAUGGUUAUCUUCAAUUUCUUUAGUGGAUUUGAAUACUAAUUCAUGGUGUGGGUCUUUUUUUAUUCUUUAUAAAAUUAUAAUAAAAAUGAUAACAUUUACCGUCCAAGGAUACAAUAUUUUUUAAAUUUCUUUUAUUUGGAUUUUCAAACAUAUACAAUUCAAAGGACAAAAGUAUGGAUGAAUGCACCUUUAAAAAUUCAUCUUAUUGAUAUGAAUCCAAAGGGACACUAGUUUGUAUAUAAGUAUAAAAAACAACUCAAUGCAUACACGAAAGGCACUAUUGGGCCAAAAUUCAAAGAAACAAGAGGAAACAAAUUGGCAAUGGCUUCUAUUAUGGAGAAUGGGAUCUAUGGGAUUUGGGUCAAUGAAUUUCAGAUGGACCCCGGGAAGCCAGGAAGCCUUCUUCACGCUUCCAAUUUUAUAUGAAUUUCCAUUAAAAGCAUUAUGGCCAGUUUGUUUUAAUGUGUUGACAGUCAAAGCAUGUGCCUUGUAACAUUGCGCAGAAUAUAAUAUUUUUCAUUCAGACUGUUCACAACUUGCUAAAAUCAAGAUCUGAUCUCAUACUCUCUCUUAUCUUUUAUUUUAUAAGUAUGAAAUCCAACCCUAUUAUAUUUAAAAUGGGGAGGUUCAAAUAAGUUGAUUGCCACCUUGUAGGUAUGUGACAUGCUAUGAUUGCCACCUGUAAAGAUUCGCCGUCUACUCAUGUACUCAACUGUGACCAAAGAUUCUUGAAGACACUUUUAAAACUUGUAAACGCAUUCAUCAAAAAGUUUAGCAUCUCACAAACCUUUAAAAAACCAAAAAAAAAAUGAUUUCUUUAAAACAGAAUUUCUACAAUGUAAUUAGAUUCUCAAAUUAAUCUCUUAUCUAUGUGAAUACCAAUGUCAUAAAAUGAUAAUCGGUAACUACGAUUUUAAUUUUUUUUUUAAAUGGUUAAAACCAUAAUUGAUAACUAUUGUUUUAAGAUUAAAUUGGAAGAGAUAUUCACCAACUAGGUUUUAUAUAUGUUUUAAAAAAAUUUUAAAGCCUUAGUAAUUAUGGUUUUGUGACAAAAAAAAAUUAAAAAUUAAAAAUUCUCUUGCAAUACGGAUACAUUAGUUUGGGAGCUAUUUUGUUCGAAGGUUUAGUUUGGGAUUUUUUUUAAAAUACAUUAUUUUUGCUCAAAACUCAAAAAUUCAUUUAAAGCGAUUUUUGGAUUAACAUUUGAUAAAGAAUUUUUUAAUUAUUUUUUUGCUAUUAAAAAUACUUUCAAGAUGCUUUUAUAUAUAUAUAUAUAUAUAUUUGAUUCUUAAUAAAAACAUUUAUGAUAUACAUAUUAGGUAAAGUGUUACAAAGACUAGUUUGUUGGUUAUUUGGAAGGACAUUUUGUAUAACAAAGGUGUUUAUGCCUGUUACACUAUAACAAUGUAUUAAUGAAUUAUUCAACUUUGGAUUUCAUUAUUGUGGUGGAUUUGUUUAACAAACUUUAUAAAUCAGUGGACAUUAAAUAAUUUUUUUUUUUUGUCAAAAAAACAAAAUAAAAGCAAAGAGCACCAAGUGGUAAUUAAAUAAUUAAAUAAAUUAAAAGAAAAAUAAAAAGAAGAUAAAAGAAUAGAUAAAGAGCUAAAACUUGUCCUUUACCCAAUUUAAAAUUAUAAUUUAAGUAGAUUCUUAUUUGAAAAAUCAUAACAAAUAUUGAAUUUUCAACUAAUAAUUAAACUUGUCGAAGACAUAAAAAAUUUUAAUAGAUUAAAUUGUGAUUAAAUUAGUCUUCAGAAUCAUAAUUUUUUAAUUCAACAAAAAUUGGGCUUAAAUGGAAUGGGUCAUAUAUAUUAGACACGUAACAUGUAAUUAAAAGAUGACAUGUAAUGAAGUUCAGAGGGUUAUAAAAUUAAAUUUUGUAUAGAAGAGAAUUAUAAAUAAAUAUUCUUUUGUUGAGAAAUUCCCUAAAUAAGGAAAUGAAUUUUCCAAUUGUAGUGAAAAAGGAAUUAGAAAUAAAUGUUUAUGACAGAAAUACCAGUAAAAAGUGUAAUAAGAGUAAGUAUUUAGUUAUUUGAAAGGGCAAUUAGUAUAAAAAGGGGUGAUUAUGUUUGUUUAAUGAUUGCAACAUAAAAUUGAAUUAUUGAACUUUGGGUUCCAUUAUUGUGGUGGGUUCAGUGGACUUUAAAUAAAGUUGAUAAAGGAUUUGAGACACUAGGGCAACAAUAUUUUGUCAAACAAAAAAUAAAGAUCGAGGUUAGUUUAGCUUAUCAAAGAAAAAAAAGACUAAUACGGUGUUUGGUUUUUUGGCUGAAUAAAAAAAGCCAAAUAUUUGGCUUUUUCUAUUCAGCCAAAAAACAAACACCACCUUAGUUAGACAUCAGUUUUCCAUUGAAGGUGGUACCCUAAGAAGAUGGAAUUAAAAAGUGAUUUGAGUUUGAUGCUUUACUUCUUGGUGACAUGAUUCUAAAUUUUCAGGUGCACAAAGACAUUUUUAGAUAUAAGCACUACCUAUCAAAAAAUGUUUAAACCUAUGCCAUUCAUAAAUUAUGAUCCCUCCUAUGUGUCGUUACCGUGCUCAAGAAAACCAUUACUACCCUACUUCCUUUCGCUACCACCAUCCUUAAUAUUUCGAAAUUCUAUCCCAUAUUUUACAAGUAAACAGACCAAUUCCACAUGCUUUCUCACAUUAGUCUGAAUCAUCAACCACUGAAAAGUGAUUAACAUCAAUGAAUCAAAUGUUUAUACAGAAAAAAAAUCUAAUAACCAAUUUAAGAGCAUAACAAUAAACAAUUUGUUCUAAAGGGUACAGAGGAAAUCACAAUUCACCAAUAUGAAUAUGAAAAACAAUAGCAACGCAUCCUCUGCACUUUCAACACUCUUUCCCUCGCAGAGAAACUGAAUGCAAUAAAAUCACAGUAAAGCCACAAGCUUACACAUCAAGAAAAUGUGCAUAAGAAUGUAUGCAUCCAUUAAAAAAAUGUUAGCUUCAAAGUAAGAUAUCAUUUUGCCACCAAAAAGACUUCAAGUUUCUUAGCUUUGAUAGGUGUGUUAGAAUUAGAAGCUGGAUUUGCAGCUGCUGCAACCUUGGUGGCCUCCCGCGCUCUCUCUUAUCAAGCUGAACCAGGCUCGUGUGGCCAAAAUUGCCAAUGGAAGCAAAUCGUGAGAAGCCCUGGCAUACAAACACCUCACUGCCACUGAUGUGGCAUCUUUCACAUCUUGAAAAUUGUGAGGAGCCAACAGACAGUGGCCAAUAAUUUGCUAUGUGGGCUGCAAAAGCUCCCAAGGCAGUGAUCUGAGUGAUCAUCCCAACAGCAACACUAUGUAAGGGUACAUGACAGUGAUCUACGUGAUCAUCCCAAUGGCAACACUACGUAUAUAGAAGACUUAAGAAAAACCAAAGCAAGAACAAGAUGACAUAAGAAUUAGGAAAGAAACAAAUGCAGCAAAUGCAUAAAAAAUAUGUUAUAUUCCUAUAUCCUUGCCUGUUAACUGUGGACUAAUCGGUGAGCUCUCCCUGUAUGCUAGCAGAACAGAGCAACCGCAAUCAAGUAUGAUCUGACUUAACCAAUUCAGUACCAGAAACAUAGAAGAAAUUGUAGUAGUGUACUUGCCAUCUCCCUAUUUGAUGCAAGUUAAAGUUUUCAGGCAUUGAAAGAGCAGCAAUCUUCCUCCCUCCAUCUUCCAUCCCCAACAACCUUUGAAAUAAUUUUAUUACAAAUUAAAGCAACAAAUGCCUUAGUUAUUGAAAAGUAUAAGCCCAAAGAAAACAUGCUUGUUUCUUUUUGGUUACGUAUAAGUUAUCACACAUUUCAAUCUCAUACAACCUACAAAAUGAUGUAUGAACAACUUGUAAUUUGCAGAUUAAAAAGAGUCUCCCCUGUUGUGCCCUCAGAAAAUGGACUGAUGCAGUAAAUGUUGAUAGAUUAGUCUAUGGAACAUAAUUAGAGCCUCAUGAGUAUAUACAAUAAGACAAGUCACAUAUUAUACCCGGAGAGCUGAUUGGCACGGUGUUAUGACCAUAGGCAAUGACAUCUUAAAAAGUUUGUGUAUAGGGAGACUUGAUACCAAAACCAACAAUCCAAUCUUAGUCUUGAAGUACAAGAUGUUGAAGAUCCACUUUUGUCAAGGAUGGAGCUUAGUUGGCAAGAUUGAAAUGAAACAAUUCCCAAUGACUAGAACUUAGAGGCGCUUUGACUUCUACAAAUAGAAGAAGACCUAAAUAUGUUGUAUCAUGACAAUGUAAGGGUGAAGGAAGGGCGCAAAGUAGAAGACAGUGGCAUCAAGCCAUUCCAAAUCAACACAAAUAGGACUUAAAAUAUUAACCAAAACAAAUUGAAUAAUAGGCUCUUUGGAGGAUCCCUUUUUUUAAUUUCAUAAAUUCUCAUAUUCUAAUUCUAUUUCAAAUAAGUCACAAAAAUAAAACUUGAAAACAAAUCAAUAAAUAUUCUUAUAGGGUUUAAGACAUUUUUAAAACUUGAAAACGCAUUCACUAAAAAAUAAAGCAUCAAACCAAGCUUUAAAAAAAAUUUAAAAAUCAAAGUUUUAGGCAAAAAUGAUUUCUUUAAAACAAAAAUUCCACAAAGUAAUUUGAUUCUCAAAAUCAUUUAUAAAUUAGUGUGUCAUAAAACUAUAGUUUUAAUAUUUUUUUUAAAAUGGUCAAAAUUGUAGUUGGUGAUUAUGAUUUUAAACUUAAAUUUAAAAUCAUGAUCAUUAACUACGGUUUUAUAUAUGUUUAAAAAAUUUUCAAAAUUAGUAAAUACAGUUUUGUGACUAAAAAAAAAAAAAGUUCUUAGGCCUUGUGGAUAUUUAAGUAGCUAAGAUGCGUUAGUUUGAGAAUUAUUUUGGUAAGAGGUUUAGUUUGAGAUUUUAUUUUUAUUUUUUAAGAUAUAGUAUUUUUGCUCAAAAUUCAAAAAGUCAUUUAAAGUGAUUUUUGAAUUAAUAUUUGAUAAACAUUUCUUUUAAAAAAUAUUUUUUUGUUAUUAAAAAUACUUUCAAGGUGCUUUUUUUCUUAUUUAUAUUCAAAAUAUUAAUUUUGAUUCUUAAUAAAAAUAUUUAUGAUAGAAAUAUUAGGUACAAGUAUUGCAAAGUGUAGUUUGUUGGUUAUUUGAAAGGACAUUAUAUAUAACAAGGUGUUCAUACUUAUUGUAUUAUUGAAUUAUUGAACUUUGGAUUUCAUUAGUGCGGUGGAUUUGUUUAACAAACAUUAGAAAUCAAUGGACAUUAUGUUGUGAAAAUCAUGAAAAAGAAUAAUAAUAGGGAGAAAAGAAUAAGAAAAAGGAUAACAAAACACACAACGAUUUAUGUGGUUCGACCUUAAGCCUACAUUCACGGGCGAAAACGAAGAACUUUUACCAUGGUUUUAGAAUACCGGAUUGGACCGGCUGAUCCGACUGCCGACUGGUCACUGUUCUGGUCCGGUCCAACCAAUUGGACUGGAAUGGUAUUGAACCGAAGUCGGACCGAACCAGCGGUCCAACCGGUAAACCGGACGAAUCUGCCGGUUCGGAUAUUCGAUUAAAAUUAUUUUUUUCCUCCCAUUGUUGUUGUCCCUCGUUGGCAACACCCCUGUGCUAGAAAAACUUCCCCUUUUUGCCCAUCGAAACCCACCCCCGCGCUAGAAACCCCAUUUUUCCAUGACCCCGUUGGAACCUCCGCCCCCAUCCCCGCUGGAAAAGCUUUCAUUUUUUGCCCUUUGGAACACCCCCACACGACUCCCAGGAACCCCCACCCACACCCUGUGCCGAAAAAGCCAACCCCCUUCUUCCUUCCCCCCAAACCCUCCUCUUAGCAACCCCCACUGGAACCCCCACAUUGGAAAAAGUAUUCCCUUUUUGCCUGACCCUCUCAUCCCUUAUUCCAGGUUGUUUUAUUUUUUUUAAUUAUUUUUUAUCUCAUCUCUAUAUUAUUUAUUUAUUUUUAAAUUUAUUAUUAUUUUACUUCAUGUUUAAAACUUAUGAUUUUAAUUUAAAUUAAUAAAAAAAUUACCAGCUUAAAUCAAUUUCUGAUUUUAAAAUAAGUUUUUUAAUUUAAAAAUGGAUUUUAAAUUUUAAAUUUGAAACUAAUUUUUUGAUUUUCAAAUAAAAUUUUAAUUUUUAAAUAAUGUAUAAAUUAUUAUUUUUAUUUUUAUAAUUAUUUUAAAUUUUAAUAAUUUAUAAAUUAUAUAUUUAUGACGUCAUCGGUUCGAUCGCAGUUCGAUUGUCGGUUCGACCAGUGAACCGUGAACCGAUAACUUUUCCGGUUCUGAAAACAUUGACUUUUACUAUUGUUAAAGGAUAUUACAACUCUUAAAACUCUCAAAUCCUAAAACCCCAAUUUAUACCUAAAAAAAGACUUACUAUUUUGGUCAAAAAUCUCUUCCUAUAUUUUUUCCUAAUUACAAAAGAAGUUUCUAUAUAGGAAACAAAGUGUAUAAUUGUCAAAGAUACCUUUUCCUAAAUAGAAGAUUUCAUAUUAGGAUAUUUCCUAUAAUAAUAGGAAACCCACUUUCAAGAAUAUUUUCUAUUAGGAAACUAUCAAUAACUUUCCAAAUUGACUCAAAAUACAAUUUGAGACACUUUCCAACAAUCUCCAUCUUGGCUCAAAUUCCCAAGAUUAAAAUAAACUUGAAAGUCUUCAAGUUACUUCUCUCCCACAUCCUAUAGGGGUCUUCAGAUACUACUAACACCAAUUAAGUCAAAGCAAUGCUUGAACUUAAUUAUAGGAAUAGACUUAGUCUUCAUAUUUGCAGGAUUGUCCAUUGUAGGGAUUUUUUUUUCAUUACAAUAGCACCAUGUGCAGUCAUAUCCCUAAUAAAAUGCAUUCUGACAUCAAUAUAUUUGGUCCUCUCAUGGAACAUCUAAUUUUUAGUCAAAUGUAUGACACUUUGGCUAUCACAAUACACAACAAUCAACUCUUGUUGUAAGUCUAAAUCACCAACCAAACCUUUAAGCCAAACAACUUUUUUCACUGCUUCUGUGGCUACCAUGUAUUCUACUUCAGUGGUUAACAAAGCAACUAUAGAUUGUAAAGUUGCUUUCCAACUAAUAAUACUACCACAUAAAGUAAAUACAUACCCUGUUAGAGAUUUUCUUUUAUCCCAAUCUUCAUCAUAAUCAAAAUCAACAUAACCAACAAUUUCCCCAAAGAUGUCAAUAUUUUUAUCAUAUACUAAGCCAACAUGUGUGUUCCUCUCAAGUAUCGAAGUAUCCAUUUCACUACUUGCCAAUGGAUAUUUCCAGGGUGAUCCAUAUAUCUACUCACCACACUAACUGCAUGUGAAAUAUCUAGCCUAGUGCAAACCAUGACAUAUAUAAUGCUCCAAACUACACUAGCAUAAGGAACAUGUGACAUGUACUCUCUCUCUUCUUUAGUUUGUGGUAAUAAAGCACUAGAAAGUUUGAAGUGAGCUAUGAAUGGAGUACUCACUAGUUUUGAACCUUGCAUUCCAAAGUGUUUUAAUAUUUUCUCAAUGUACUUUUUAUGUGACAAGUACAAUUUUCCUUCUUUUUAGUCCCUAUGGAUCUCCAUAUCCAAUAUUUUCUUCAUAGCUCUAACGUCUUUUAGUUCAAACUCUUCUUGACGUUAAGUUUUCAAACUGUUGAUCUCAGACAUAUUCUUGCAGGCAAUUAACAUGUCAUCAACAUAUAACAAUAAAUAAAUGAAAGAACCAUCAAACAAUUACUUCUGACAAACACAAUUAUUAUACUCACUUCUAUGGUAGUCAUUACCAAUCAUAAAAGUAUCAAACCUUUUAUACCAUCACCUAGGAGAUUGCUUUAAACUAUAAAGAGAUUUCUUCAAUAAACAAACAUGGUAUUCCUUUCCUAAAAUGAUGAAUCCUUCCGGUUGAUGCAUAUAAAUUUGUUCUUCCAACUCACCAUGUAGAAAAGUAGUCUUGACAUCAAGUUGCUCUUACUGUAAAUUAAAUAAAGUAACCAUAGCAAGUAACACUCUGAUUGAGUUAUGCUUCACAAUCGGAGAAAACACUUCAUUAAAGUCCACACCCUUUUUUUGUGAGUAGCCCUUUGCCACCAAAUGUCUUUAAACCUAGCAUCCUCCACUCCUAGAAUUCCUUCCUUUCUUUUGAAGACCCAUUUGCAACCAACAAUCUUUUGAUUUUUAGGUUUCUCAACUAGUUGCCAAGUAUGGUUCUUUUGAAGAGAUUCUAUCUUCUCAUUCAUAGCAACAAUCCACUAUGUAGACUCUCUACUAAUGAUGGCUUCGUGAUUAGUUUAAGGUUCCUCAUUUGCAAUGCUCUUUGCCACAUUAAGUGCAUAAACAACCAAAUAUGCAUAAGCAUACCUUUGUGGUGGUAUAAUAUGAAUCCUUAUUCUAUCUUUAGCCAAAUAAUAUUGAUGUUCUUGUGGUGCAUUUUCUUUAUCAUUAAAAUGUUGCACUUCUUCCUUCUUUAACUUUAUUGAAAUCGUUUUUUCUAUGGUUUCUAAAGCUUUAGUCACAAACUUCACCAUUUUUUUCUCACAUCAGGGUCGUUUUCUGUAUGAAAUUGCUCCUUUCUAGGACUCAACAUUGCAGACUCAUUAAAAGUCACAUCCCUAUUAAUAAGAAAUUUGGAAAAAUUUAGAUCUGGGCACCAUUACUUAUACCCUUUCACUCCAUCGACAUAUCCUAAGAAUAUGCACUUUCUUGCCCUUGGUUCCAACUUACCUUCAUUCAUAUGAGCAUAAGCAGGACAACAAGAAAUUAUUAAAUUAACAUAAUUAGGAGAACCACACCAUACCUCUUCAGGAGUCCUACAAUUAAUAGGAAUUGAAGGAGAUCUAUUCACAAGAUAUCAAGUUGAAUUUACUACUUUAGCCCAAAAUUCCUUUGACAACUCUACAUUCGAAAGCAUGCAUCGAGCUUGCUCUAAAAGAGUUUUAUUCAUCCGUUCUAUCAACUUUCUUUCACUCAUAUGCCUAAGCCGCAUAUGCCACAAUCUAGUAAUCUUUAUAAUUGAUUUUGAGGUUGAAACUGCAACUGCACCUGUUACCGUGCUACCCUACUAUGUAUAAAGACCAUUAAUUUUCUUUCCGUUCAUCACAACAAGACCACCCUUUGAAACCCUCAAAACUCCACCUCUAGCUUUAUAUAUGCAUCCAUUGGAGUCAAGUGUCCUUAAAAAAAUCAAAUUUUUGUUCAAUUUUGGAACAUGCCUUACAUUAGUUAAUGUCCUUAUAAUGCCACCAUGCAUCUUAAUUUGAAUUGUGUGUAUCCCAACAACCUUACAAGCUACCUUGUUUCCCAUGAGAACUUUCCCACCAUCUAUGGGUUGGUAGGUACUAAAUCAAUCCCCAUUGGGAGACAUAUGAUAGGAGCACCCUGAAUCAAGAAUCCACUCAUCAUCUAAGUUUGUAAUAGUAACUAAAAGAACAUCUGUAGUAUUUGAAUUUUCUUUUGUAAAUGUUGCAUCACCAGAAUUAUAAUUUCUCUUAUUUUCUUUUCCUUUACGAUCUGGACAAUUUUUCACAUAGUGCCCUUCUUUUUUACACUUGAAACAUUUGUUGUUUCCCCUGGACUUUGAUCUAGAUCGACCUCUUCUACCAUUAUUUUUCUUUCUUGUUCUCCCUCUAGCCACCAAACCUUCACCUGAGUCAUAUUUUCUACUUUUGAACACCAUUUUCUUCAACUCCCUUGAGUUCAAGGCUACUCUAACAUCCUUUAUGAAGAGAGUACCUCUACCAUACAUCAUAAUAUCUACGAAGUGCUCAUAAGAAUUUGGUAGGGAACACAUUAAAAAUAUGGCUUGGUCUUCAUAAUUAACUUUAACAUCAAAGUGGUCUUUCAUGGACAUACUUUCUUUCAUCUGAAGAGUGUGCAAUCGCUUCUUUAAAUACAAACGAUUUUUUAGAGACUUCGUCAUGUGCAGACUUUCUAGCUUCAACCAUAACUUGGCAGUUAUAUCUUCUUCUGCAAUCUCACGAAGCACCUUAUUACCCAAACACAAUAGAAUAGCACUAUGUGCUUUCUCCAUAGGUUCAUCAUUCUUUUCAUCAAACAUCAUUGUUGGUAGAGUCUUUAUACCUUUCAAUGCUUUGGACAACCCCUAUUGAACCAAUAAGGCAGGCAUCUUAAUGCGCCACAAAUUGAAAUCGUUUCUUCCAUCAAACUUCCCAACCUCAAACUUUGUCGCCAUUCUAGGUCUAAUAACCUUAGCUUUGAUACCAAUUUGUUGUGCAAAUCACUAGAAAUAAUAAUAAUAAGGAAAAAAGAACAAGAAAAAAGAAAACAAUACACAACGAUUUACGUGGUUCGACCUUAAGCCUAUAUUCACAGGCAAAGAUGAAGAAAAACUUUUACUAUUGUUAAAAGAGAUUACAAUUCUUGAAGUUCUCAAAUCUCAAAGCCUCAAUUUAUACCCAAAAAGAGACUUACUAUUUUGGUCAAAAAUCUCUUCUUAUAUUUUUUCCUAAUUACAAAGGAAGUUUCUAUAUAGGAAACAAAGUGUAUAAUUGUCAAAGAUACCUUUUCCUAAAUAGAAGAUAUCAUAUUAGGAUAUUUCCUAUAAUAAUAGGAAACCCACUUUCAAGAAUAUCUUUUAUUAGGAAACUAUCAAUAACUUUCAAAAUUAACUCAAAAUAUCAUUUGAGACACUUUCCAACACAUUGAAUAAUUUUUUUUUUCAAAAAAAGAAAGACAAAAGCAAAGAGCACCAAGUGGUAAUUAAAUAAAUAAAAAUAAAAAUAAAAGAAGAUAAAAGAAUAGAUAAAGAGCUAAACUUGUUCUCAGACUAGAUUUAAAAAUAUAAUUUAAGUAGAUUCUUAUUUGAAAAAUUGUAAGAAAGCUUAACGUUUGAAGUACAAUAGUAAAUUUCCAAUUGAUAAUUAGAACAUGUUGUAGAGAUCAAAAUUUUUAGUAGAUUAAAUUGCGACUAAAUUAGUCUUUAAAAUCAUGGUUUUUAAUUCAACAAAAAUUAGGCUUAUAUGGAAUGGGUUAUAUGUAUUAGACACGUGGCAUGUAAUUAAAAGAUGACAUGUAACAAAAUUCAGAAGGUUAUAAAACUAAGCUUUGUAUAAGAGAGAAUUAUAAAUAAAUAUUCCCUUGUUGGCAAAUUCCCUAAAUAAGGAAAUAAAUUUUCCAAUUUAUGUUAAAAGAGAAUUAUAAAUAAAUAGUCUCUUGUUGGCAAAAGAAUAAGAAAAGUUACUAAAAUCAAGAAACCAAAUUCUUUGAAUUAAACAAUUAAAUCUAUAGGAAUCAAAAUUCAAUUUUCUAUUUCCAUCUAUAAAUAAUGGCUACUGCCUUCAAAGAAGAGGAUAGGAAAAAUAAUUUCACAUAGGAAAAUAAAAUCUACGACAAGAAAAAGGUUUCUUAAAAUAUCCUUACAAGUUUGAGAAAUCGAAUAAGUUUUGUAGACACAUUCUUCAUUAUUCAAUGAAUUCAUUCAAGAAGUCAAUAUAAGCCUUCGAUUGAUUUUAAAAUCAGGAAAACACUUUCAUCGUCAUCUUUUGAAUUGUGAUUAAAGUGAAUGAAUCAAAGAAAAAAAAUUCUUUAUAAAGAAUAUUAUCACAAAAAUUGUAUUCUACAAUUAUUUUAUCCUAUAAUUAUUUUAAUACAAAGUUUUGUUUGCAUAUUUAUUUUUUCUAUAGUUUGGCUUAUUUUGCAAGACUUUUCAAAAUCUAUGCAUACAAAUUUCUAGCCAUUAAGAUGGGAUAUCUUUGUCUCUCAUCUUUUUUAGUAAAAAAAUUGAUCACUAUUAAGACGAUCACAUAAAAAAAAGGCUCAAACUAUGUAUGUUAACAAGGACUAGAACAAGAUUGUUAUUGGACCCUUCUAAAGAGGCAUGAAUUGAAGAAAUUGUUGAAAUGAUGAGUAGAUUUUCAAAGGAUUGUGAGGAAGCCUCCAACAUCGACAAGCUUCAAGCGAGGAAAGCAGUUAUGAGUAGGAUGUUGGUGAAGAGCCUGCAAGUUGGGGAUGCUGUGUUUGAGAGAAUAUCCCAUGCUGUUUAUUUGGCUGCAAGAGGAGUAGUGCUUGUAGGGAAUGGCCCUCAAGGAAGAAAAUUAGCAGAAAUGGCACUCCAGUUGGUGGGAACCGUUGAUCUGACUAAUAGAGUGGUGGCAGCUGCUGAAAUAUUGGUGGCAGCAGCCACGGUGUUGGUUAAUGUUCAUGGGCAAUGGUAUACAUAUCUGACUGAUAACAUGUGACUAGUUUGACAUGAAGAAGAAUGAAUUUAAUUACAAGGAGGAAAGAAGAAAAUAAUGCACACACCUGUACAUAGUGGUGGAUGUACAUUUAUGUUUUAAGUAUGAACACAGGAUGGAAGGUUGUUAAUAUGAAAAAAUAUUUCAUGAAUGGGAGAGGGAUGUUGUAAAUAAUAUUUAUAACUGAAUUGAAUGUUUUUUUUUUUCUAUUCUGAUUCAACUACCUUUAUUUUCUGUCCAGACUCCAGAGAAAUAAAGUUUGUAUGUCUGUCUGUCUGUCUAUUAAUAACACUUGGGAUAUAAAUAAUUGCUUUCAUGUUUCAUAUGCUAAGUUUCUCUUUCAUUUUGUGACUUGUGAUAUAUUGGAGAUAAAAGUUGAAGUAUUCGAAGAUCCACUAGAAUCGGAGAUCCACCAGAAUCAGUGUAUGUUGCUGUUAGUGCUAUUGCGCGCAUCAAAUUUGAAUUAUUCAAAGAUCCAACUGAAAGUUCUCUAUAUAAUCAUACACGCUGUAUACACUAAAGUAUGAAUGGAAAUAUAUUUUCACUCUUUCCUCUGUUAAGUUUUACAUGAUAUGACCUAUAACCAAAAGUUCAUAGUUGUUAGAAUGGAUUUGGUUCAGGUAAGGAAGGAUGGAAACAAGGCAAAAGCUUGUGUAAUCUCUGAAAUCAUCAAUAACAAAAGCUUGUUUAACCACUUUUUUGCAUAUUAGGUACUUUAGAAAUAAGAACUUGUGAAGAGGAGUGAAUUUUCUUUUGCAUGAAGAGAGUGGAUAAGCUCAACAUAACACCAUUCUUCAUUCUUUUACAAAAUUAGGAAUUUUAAAUGUGAAUGAAUCAAGUUACAGUAUUCUUCAUGAUGUAUCAGUCUUUCUACUAGCUAAUAUAAACAAUGAGAGCCAAGAUUAAAAUUGGAAUUCCUUCAAUGAACAGCAGUAACUUCCUCACUCCGGUGCUCCCCACCUUCCAUCCCCAACAAUCUUUGUCAUAGUUUUAUGACAAAUUAAAGCUACAAACACCUUAGCUACUGAAAAAUAUAAGCCAAACGAAAACAACCCUGUCACUUUCUGGUUAGCAAUAAGAUAUCAUACAUUUCAACCAAAUUGAACCUACAAAAUGAUUUAAGAACACAAUUUGUAAUUUGCAGAUUGGAAGGAUAGUCUCAAAUCAUAUAACUUAAUUUUUAGGGAAAUUGGUUGUUUAACAAGAUUGACGGUUCAAGUGGUCCACUGGGUAAGAUUGUUCAAUUUCUCAAUACUAGGAUGAUUGGUCGAUAUUCCAACAGGUUGAAUUAUCCAAUUGGGUUCGAUUUUUAAAACCUUAAUUAAUAAGAAACUACAUGCAAUUUCUAGAUGGAUUAUGAUUCUUGUAUCGAAUUUCAAUAGAAUCGUUAAUGCAUAAAGUUUUUUUAUAUAUAUAGAUACUAUGGAUUUGUUUGGCAAAUUUUGAAAAACAAUUCUUAGUUAUUUUGAGGAAUAAAAUUAUAUUUGAAAACCCAAAUAUGAAAAAAAAAAAAGAAAAAAAAGCUUUAUUAAUUUAUUUUUCACAAAAGUAUCGUGUAUUUAUGUAUAAUUCAAAAGUUUUUAAAAUAUUUUACAUUUUUUCAAUUGUUACUCACAACUCAAGCAUGCACAAAAAAUAACUAAAAACAUCUCAAAUUUAUUAUAAAAAAACUUAUUUUUAGAAUACAUUCUCAAAAAAUUAUUUUGUAUAAAAAAUGUUCUAUAAAAAUAAAAAACAAUUUUAAAAAAUCAUUACUAAGCAAGCCUAUGCUACUGUGGAUGCUUUGGACAAAAUGAAAAAGAAAAAUGGUAAUUUCCAAUACCAUUUGAAAUCAUGAAAAGACCAUAACCUUGCAUACAAUAUAUGGGUCAAGGUCUUUAAAAAAAAUAAUUUCUUUUUAUUUGGAUAUCUAACUUGGGAUUCAAGGUUUAAUUAGGAAUUUGGUCAUUCACCACCAUUUUCAUUGGUUGAAAUUCUUUGGUAGAAUUACUAUUAAAUUAUAUAUUUUAGUUGCUUGAAUAUCUUUAUUUAAUAAGGGACCAUGGGGUGUUAUGUAAUCCAAGUAGAAAUCAAUGAUAACUCUUUGAGCAAUUGUUUAGCCUACAUGUUUUCUUUUUUCAUUUUUCAUUAAGACAACAUUUGGAGCAUCAAAUUAUGGUUCCCCUCAUUGGAUUUCAAAAUAUUUUACAUUUCCCCACUCUUUGUAUUUUCAUCCUAAAUCAUGAGCUAUUUUGUUUCAUCUGAUGUCUCCCACUCUUCCUCGUAUCUACACCCUAAACCGUAAACCUUUUUACUUUAUUAGAUGUCUCUUACUCCUUUUCAUAUCUCUAUCCACAAUAUGUAGUCUGUACAAACUGACCUCUAUCAUAUCUCUUCUCAUAACUUUUUUAACUUGAUUAUAACCUAGAAUAUUUAUAGAGAUACUCCUAUUUGCUUUACUAAUCUUAUAAAGAAUUUAAUUACAAUUGCAUAUCAACUGGGGAAACAUUUUAUAUAAUAUUUCUCUUUGACCGUUGGAUUUGUAAUCUGCUUCAACUUGGCAUCAUUGAGCAUAGCAUGGACAAACAACAGUUUUCUCUUCAACUUCUUGAGGAGUGCAUGAUUGAGCUUAUGCCCCGUGAAGAAGUUGAGCACCUCACGAGAAGCUGACCUAUGAAAUAGAAAUUGGAGAGAAGCUGACAUAAAAGCACCUCCAACCAAAGCCCCAUCCAUGUCUGUUUCUCUAGCAAAAGGAAGUGAAAGAUGAAUCGAGGGAAGAAAGUAAGCACACCCAAGAUGAAACCUCCAAACUAGAAAAGAUUGGUUCAAGCGAAAUUUCCAACGGUUGAAUGAAUUAUUGGACAUCGUGGUAGAGCCCAGACUUCUAUAUUGUUGACAAAACAUCAUAGUUCAGUGGUCCAUGAAAAGAAUACGAGGAGAAAGGAAGAAAGCAGAAGGGGAUGUAAACGAAAGUCAUACAUGCAUAUGUAAACUUACAAAUCCUAUAUCCUUUUAUCAAUAAAACAGUUGAAAUAUUUUACCAUUUUUAUAUUAAAUCAUGAUAAGAAUAAAAUGUAAAUUUAUUAAUAUUUUUAUUUUAUUAGUCCAUAAAUUAUAAUAUUCAAUAUAUUCAUUUUAAAUCAUUAAUGUUAGUAAAAAACAAUGUUUGAGGGCCAACCUAUUUUUAAUUGUUCUUUCUAGAAAAGCAUGUUUUUUACACAAAAAUUCCAAAGCCAGACAAAGAGGUGUCUUUGAACUUUCAAACAGUUGGGAUCCACUGCUUUCAAUGUUUGAGAAAAUAAUAACAAAUGAUCUUGUUGACUGCCACUUUCAUAUUAAAGGGGAAAGCAAAUGAAACUGAUUGCCACUUUCAUAUUAAAGGGGAAAGCAAAUGGGGACAUCGUACAUCUAAGGUCUUGUUAACUGGUAAUCUAAAUUGUCUAUCACUCCACGUUUGGGUAUGAAGCUACACAUGAUGGAGGGUAUUAAAAGCAUAAUAUGCAUAUUGAAUUUAAAUCAUAAAAAUUUAAAUUUUUAGAAAAAUUAGUUGUUUAACAAGAUUGAUAGUUCAAGUGAUUCUCUGUCAAUUUAAAUGAUGACAUUGUUCAAUUUUUCAAUGGUAGGAUGAUUAGUUAAUAGUCCAACAUGUUGAAUUGUCCAUUUGGAUUCUACCUUCAAAAUCUUAACUAAUAAGCAAUCACAUGCAAUUUCUAGAUGGAUAGUGAUUCUUGAAUUAAACUACAACAGAAUCAUUAGUGCAUCAAAAAUUUUUAUAUAUAGAUAUUAUGGAUAUAUUUUGUAACAUUUUCUAACAUUUUCAAAAGCUAUUUUGAGGGAUAAAAUUCUAUUUGAAAAUGAAAAUAUGAAAAAUAGUUUUAUUGGUUUAUUUUUCAUAAAAGUACUAUAAUUCGAAAAGUUUUCAAAGUAUUUAACAUCUUUUCGAUUGUUAGUUACAACUCAAGCAUGCAUAAAAAAUAACUAAAAACAUCUCAAAUUUGUUAUAAAAACUUAAUUUUAGAAUAAAUUCUCAAAAAAAAUAUUUUCUAUCAAAAAAGUUUUAUGAAAAUAAAAAGCUAUUUUCAAGAACCAUUACCAAGCAAGCCUAUGUUGCUUGGAUACUUUGGACAAAAUGAAAAAAAAAAUGGUAUUUGUAAUACUAUUUGAAAUCAUAAAAAGACCAUAACCUUGCAUACAAUAUAUGGGUCAAGGCCUUUUCAAAAAAAUAAUUUCUUUUUAUUUGAACAUUCAACACCAUUUUCAUUGAUUGAAAUUCUGUCGUAGACUAGGUUGUUGGUUGUUGACUUGGGAAUUCACAUCAACCCAUAUGGACUUCAGAUUCACCCACCAGAGAUGAAUGAAAAUAAAGGCAAAUAUGAAAGGCAAGUGGUGGCGGUAGGAAGACUCUUAUCAAUAACUUUUGUCAAGUACUGGAGCUUAGGGCGGCUGUAGACAAAUGUCAUCCUGAAUCUUAUCAAUCCCUGUUACUGACUGUUGGGGUUGUAGCUUAAGAAAAUAUCUUCAAUCAAUCAAAUGAUGCAUCCGCAAAUCCAAGUCUUCAGCAAAUUUCAAAUCAUUAUUCACAUCACAAUCUUUAUUGAACCCAUGUGCAAGCAAGGAGGCUGCUCGUGCGGUUAGGUGUUAACAGGGUUAGCCCAAUUUGUUGAAUUUGUAGUUUAACAUCCGCACACGCAUUCUUUCCACAUCAUUUGAUGGCCCUUUAUAGAUUAUCUAUAAAUUCAUAGUACUUAGGAUUUGAGGGCCACGAAGGGAAAAAGGACAGUGGUAAAGAACAAAUCAUUGUUGGAAUUGAUAUGGGUGAAUGGAAAUUAAGAUUUUUUUUUUUUUUUAUUUUAUAGAAGAUAUAUUAUUUUUAAUAGACACAACUUCUUUUUAAAGGAUAUGUCAUGUAUUUAAAAUACACGUUCUCUUCCAAAGGACGUGUUUGGUGUCUUAAGACAUAACCCAUCAAAAUAUGUGUCUAGUAUUCUAAAGAGGUCUCUCUAAAGGUCCCCAUCAAAUUAUAAAUAGGGAUCCUCCAUGACAUUCAUUCAUUCAUCCAUUCUCUUCACUCUUUCUCCUUUCUUAUAAUUCAAGUCCUCCUUAGCUUCGAGUCUGAUCAAUUUUUUUUUCUACCAAAUAUUUCGUAUUUAAGAGAGUACAAAUUGCCAAGUGAUUCACUAUUUUUUAUGAUUUAGAGUGCUACUAUAACAAGAAAGUGAUCGUUGUAUAUGUCCUGAGAGAUGAUUGUCAAUAAACCAUAAACACUUGAAUGAAACAAAUUUGUCUUGAAGGAUAAAAAGUCAAACUCUAGCCUCAAUCAACCUUAUUUGUGAGUUCUAAUUUUUUACUUCAUUUUAUUUGUACAUUUAUUAUACACAUUUAUUAUUCAUAUAUUUUCAAUGAUUUGGAUAACAAGUAGAACUGUAAUUAGCUUGGUCCUUGAGAAAUAUUUGUUGGGCACACUUCCAUCAUUUAGCCUCAACCAAAAUCCUCAACAUGUCAAAACUAUGUUGUACAAAAUUCCUUACGAGUUAAUAUUUGUCGACAUACUUCUGCCAUGAAUAUAUAAGCCGAUGGUAUUAGAGUUCUCCACAUUACUGAGACAAAUGGGCUCCUGCCUUGAAACAGUUGAUUUUUCCAAGAAAAGGAAAAUUUGUCCUAGUCAAGUUCCAAUGACCCAUCCUUAUAUUUGCUUGCUCAUUUAUUCAUUUCUGGAGUUCAUUCUUUUUCUCCUUAAUUGUCUAAGGACUGAUGGAUGCUAAUCUCAAAUAAUGUAAAUGCAGCAUUCUUGUUUGUCGACAAAUCCUCAUGAGUGAGCUAGCACUAGCCAACCCUGUGGAGAUGGAAAACAUUGUAGUUAGGUGUGGCGAAUAAGUCAUAGAGCUCCUGGACCGUUCUGAACAGGCAGGAAUUGAAGAAAUUGUUGAAAUUAUGAGUGGAUUUUCAAGAGAUGGUGAGGAAGCCUCCAACAGCAACAAGCUUCAAGCGAGGAAAGCAGUUAUGAGCAGGAUGUUGGUGAAGAGCCUGCACCCAUGUUUGAGACAGUAUCCCAUCCUGUUUAUUUGGCUGCAAGAGGAGUAAUGCUUGCAGGGAAUGGCCCUCAAGGAAGAAAAUUAGCAGAAAUGGCACUAUGGCCGAUGGGAGCUGUCGAUCAGACUGAUAGAGUGGUGGCAGCUGCUAUAAUAUUGGUGGCAGCAGCCAUGGUAUCAGUUAAUUUUCAUGGGCAAUGGUAUACAUAUCUGACUGAUAACAUGUGAUUGGUUUGACAUGAAGAAGAAUGAAGUUAAUUAUAAGGUGGAAAGAAGAAAAUAAUGAACACACCUGUACAUAGUAGUGGGUGUACAUUUGGAAUAUAAAUUAUUGCAGUGUAUGAAGAUAUUAGGAGUUACUAGGUGCAAAGAUGGUUAGAACUAUUGUGAUUGUUCAUAUAUCAAGAUGGUCUUUGUCUUUGCUGCUGUCUUCCAUGGGGAUAGCCAUGCAGUACUGUUUCAUUGAGAAGAAAGAUCAUUUCCAAAUGUCUACUGAGAAAAUCAAAUCGAAAGCCUACAGUGAAUAUCAAUAAAUGAGUCCAUGGAAGAGAAUUUGAGGCUCAUGAGUAUAUAACAAGAGGACAAGUCACUUAUUAUACCUGGAGAUCUGCUUCGCACCAUGUCUUAUGACCAUAGGCAACAACUUCAAAUUUAAUUUGUGUAUAAUGACAUUUGAGACCAGAACUAACAAUUCAAUCUUAAUAUUGAAGAACAAGAUGUUGAACAUCAACUUCUGUCAACUUCUUGAGGAGUGCAUGAUUGAGCUUGUGCCCCGUGAAGAAGUUGAGCACCUCGCGAGAAGCCGGCCUAUGAAAUAGAAAUUGGAGAGAAGCCGACAUAAAAGCACCUCCAACCAAAGCACCUCCAACCAAAGCACCAUCCAUGUCUGUUUCUCUAGCAAAAGGAAGUGAAAGAUGAAUUGAGGGAAGAAAGUAAGCACACCCAAGAUGAAACCUCCAAACUAGAAAAGAUUGGUUCAGGCGAAGUUUCCAAUGGUUGAAUGAAUUAUUGGACAUCAUGGUAGAGCCCAGACUUCUACAUUGUUGACAAAACAUCAUAGUUCAGUGGUCCAUGAAAAGAAUACAAGGAGAAAGGAAGAAAGCGAAAGGGGGAUGUAAACGAAAGUCAUACAUGCAUACGUAAACUUACAAAUCCUAUAUCCUUUUAUCAAUAAAACAGUUGAAAUAUUUUACCAUUUUUAUAUUAAAUCAUGAUAAGAAUAAAAUGUAAAUUUAUUAAUAUUUUUAUUUUAUUAGUCCGUAAAUUAUAAUAUUUAAUUAUUAAAAAUAUGUUAUAUGUCAAAAAAAGAACAAGAUUCUUUUUUUAAAUUUUACAUGAAUAUUCAAUAUAUUCAUUUUAAAUAAUUAAUGUUAGUAAAAAACAAUGUUUCAGGGCCAAUCUAUUUUUAAUUGUUAUUUCUAGAAAAGCAUGUUUUUUACACAAAAAUUCCAAAGCUAGACAAAGAGGUGUCUUUGAACUUUCAAACAGUUGGGGUCCACUGCUUUCAAUGUUUGAGAAAAUAAUAACAAAAGAUCUUGUUGACUGCCACUUUCAUAUAAGUUAAACCCCACCAACCAGAAAAUCCCCUUGUUCGUCCACUAUAAAGAUCUAUCAUGUACACGCAUCAAGACUAUCAUAAGAUGCUAGUUUCCCAACAGUUUUUUGUAUCAUGAAGCUCUGAACCAUCUCAACCAAAAGGAUGUCCAUCAAUCAAAUAGUUCAUCAUUAUUGGCAAAACACAGCUUUGCGUGAAACAAUGACACCAAACAAUAAAGAGAAAAGAACUACUGAGUUAGACAUCUGUUUUCCAUUGGGGGGGGUGCCCGACUCAAGAAGAUGGAGUUAAAGCGUAAUUGGAGUUGGAAGGGUCAUAACCACCUGAAAGAAAAUAAUCACAAAGACAUGGACAGAUGCACCUAAAAUGUAUGUAUCCAUUAACAAAAGGAAGACUUCAUUUUAAAACCAAAAGGAUUUCGGGUUUCUUAGCUUUGGUAGUAGCAUACCCGCCAUCUCCUUGUUUAAUACAAAUCAUGUUCCUAGCACUAAAACAGCAGCAUCUUCAGGUGCCUUUGCAGAAGCUGUCAGCACCAGUUAAUGAAGGUGACUCAUGAGGGAUGAUCAAAGGGCUGGCUGGGAUAUGUGAAACAGAAGACAUGUUUAUUAUUGUUUGUGAAUAACCAGUCAGAGGCAUGUUUUGGUAUCAUUUGGGGUAUAAGUUAAUCAAUUUCAUUUUUCACCUUUAAUUUUCUAUUUCUUAUUUAUUAUAUGCUGUGACUUGUGAUGAUGAUGACUCCUAUCUUCUUUAAUUGCUUAAUCCUUCAUGACCCAUAAGCAAAAGUACAUAGUUAUUGUGGGACAAGGAAACGAGGAAAAAGCUGGUGUGAUCCCUAUAAUUCAUCACUAACAGAGUUCUGGAAAUUCCAAUUGAAGUAAUAUUUGAUCAUAUCUUGCAUAUUAGGUACUCUAACUAAGAACUUGAUCAGAAUUGUCCAUUGCAUAAAGAGAGUGAAGAAGCUCAACAUAACAUCAUUCUUCAUUCCUUCUAAGCUCAACAUAACAUCAUUCUUCAUUCCUUCUAUUCAAAAUUAGGAAAUUAAAUGAGAAUGAAUGAAGUUACAGUUUUCGUCUUUCUUAUCAAAUAAACAUCUGACUCUGCUGAUACAAACAAUGAGAGCCAAGAUGGCAAUGGGACUUCCUCCAAUGAGAAGAACAGGAACAUUGUCAAUUUUAAGAAAAUGAUCCUGUUUUUGAAUAGGGUACAUGACAGUGAUCUAAGUGAUCAUCCCAACAGCAACACCAUGUAUACCGAAGACAUAAGAAAAACCAAAACAAGAACAAAAUGAAAUCAAAAUUAGGAAAGAAAUAAAUGCAGUAAAAUCAUAACAAAGAUGCUAUAUUCCUGUAUCCUUGCCUUUCAAAUGUGGCUAACUGCUGAUCUCUCCCUUUAUGCAAGCAGAAGGCUAGAAGCACAGUAAACACCAUCUCUGGUAAAAUGCUGACUGCAAAACCAAAACAGAGCAACCUCAGUCAAACAUGACCUAACUUGACCAAUUAAGUACCAGAAAGAUAGAAGCAACCUCAGUCAAACACCAUCUUCUACUUUCCAUCUCCCUGUUCAAUACCAGUUAAGCUCUCAGGCACUAAAAGAGCAGCAUCUUCCUCACUCCACCUUCCAUCCCCAACAACCUUUGAAAUAAUUUUAUUACAAAUUAAAGCAACAGAUGCCUUAGUUAUCAAAAAGUAUAAGCCCAAAGAAAACAUACCUGUUACUUUCUGGUGGGUAUAAGAUAUCACACAUUUCAGCCUCAUACAACCUACAAAGUGAUGUAAGAACAACUUGUAAUUUGCAGAUUACAAAGAGAGUCUCCUCUGUUGUACCCUCAGAAAAUGGACCAAAGCAAUUAAAUUAUUUCUCUAACCAUAAAUUAGCUAAACAAAAAUGCACCCAUGCAUGCUUAUGUAAGAGAAAAUCAGAAAUCAGACUUUCCCAUUUUGAAGGUAACUUAAUUGAGUCAUGGAGAAUAUAAAAGUGACUUUUUUUUUAUAUGAGCUACCUGAGUUCAAAUCUGUCUGCACUCUUGAUAUCUUUGUUCUUGAUUUGUAGAGUGAUAAAAAUAAAAAAAUAAAAAAAUAAUAAUAAUAAUCUUAAACCAAACAAACAAAGCAUAAAAUUUGAAGUCAAAGGGCAGAGUACUCUGCACACUCAAAUCUCCAACAACAGGACAGCAAAAAUUGACACAGGGCAUUACACAUUUCCAAUGGAAUAUUCUCAGAUGUAUGUGUUUGCUGCUGCCUUUCCAGGGGGAGACUCAUCAAAUAUUGUUUCAUUGGAAAGAUCAUAGGCAUAUAUCAAGAACACAAGUCUCUUAUACGUGGAGGGCUACUUGGCACCAUGUCUGUCAGACCAUAGGAAAUGGAAUCUUACAAGUUUGUGUAUACGGAGACUUGUGUUAACCUGAGAAACAUAAAUAUGUUACCACAAUAGAAAUGAUUAGAAAUUCAGAUGCACAAAUUUAGCUACUUUAAUAAAUUGCCACAUCAAUUUUUGGGAAGUGUAGAACAAGUACCUGACUGACGGUAUUUAGCAUACUGAAGUCAUUAUGUGUGUGAAAUCACCACCUUCAUUAGUAAUUUAGUAGAGCACACCACCUAUCACUAUGCGUGGAAUGUGAGCUAUAUAUUCCCAAUCUUGGCCUUUCUCAAAUUGGCACCCAUCCUCCAGCAAAGGACAACUCCCGAUUGUCAUACAAGACAGGGAGUUUGGCAGUCUCUCUUUUGUCAAGCAUUGGAGAUGAUAGCAAUUGGACAUAGACAAUUCUUUGAGAGAGGUGAGGUAUUGAAGACCUACUUCUCUCAAAGAUUCGAGCACAGGGAGGUAGGUCAUCUCUAAAUUUUUAAGAGAGGUAAGAUGUUGAAGCCCCUCUUCUCCAAAGGAUUGGAACUUAGGGCAGUUGAAGAUGGAUAAUGUUGUUAGAGAGGUAAGUUGUUGUAGCCCCUUGCUGUCCAGAGACUUGAUAUUCAGAAGACCACGUAUACAAAGAGAGGUAAGUGUGGAGGGUAGCAGGGACUCGUUGGGAAAUGAUUCCAUGUCUUGGCAUCCAGCACUGAUUGUGAAUUUUGUAAGAGAGGCCAGUCUUUGCAAACCCCAGUCCACCUGAGAUGUGAGUUGGUUGCAGGAUGAAAUUUCAAGUUCACGUAGGUUGGAGGGCAAACCAUCUCUCUGAAACAACAAUUCUGGACAAUCUAUUAACCUCAAUUUCUGCAACGAUGAGUGUGUGCGCGCUAGCAACUUCAGCUUCCUACAUCUGGAGAUCCCAUAGCGUGCAGACUCGAGAGCGGGCAAUUCAAUAUAUAUCAGAUCAGGGCAGUCUUCGAUAGUUAAAUAAUUAAGAGACGUGGGAUCCCCCUCUGAAACGGAGAUGGAGAGGAAUUCAAGCCCUUCAAAAUCAGAGAUGUCGAGUCUGUUCAACCGUGGGAAGAUGCUUAAUGAGAAAGAUAGUGAGAAAGAAUUACAGUUCCCAAAACCACUAAUGAACAAAAAUACAAGGAAUGGAUGGUGGGAUCUCAAUAGUGCACGCAGGACAAACUCCAGUUUGGUACACUUCGAGAUAUCUAGUGACUUCAAUGUAGUGGGUAAACCAACACUGUGCAAGGGUCUGGAGAAACGACAACUUGUGAUGCGCAAAUGUUGGAGAAGACAAGUGCUUCUUUGUAGUAUUCCCUCCUCCAAUACCCACUCUAUCGAAUCACAUUCUCUGAUUGUAAGCAUCUGUAUUCGUGGUGGCAUUUCCUCCCAUUGAGAGAUGUCUGAAAUUUCAAUUUCUGAAGUUUGGAGAUUAGUGAACCCACAAGCUGGCCUUUUCAACCGAAAUUUACCAUGAUUCGACAUUCUCCAUUCACGGAUUUGAGGAGCUCGGAGGGAGCCCACAAGCAACUCAGAACGAAUGAUUACAAGUUUCUUCAAUGAACGAAGCUGUUUUGGUAAUUUCCCAGUGAGUUUGGGACAUUCAUUUAUACAAAGCUUCUGAAGACGAGGGAAUUCUCCACGUCUGCAUCCACAACAUAACCAUUUCUCCCAGUUGUACAUCUUCUCGAAUCUUAGAGUUUGUAGGGACGGGAAGGAGGGCUUAGUUGUGUUGGAGGAAGAAGCAUUCCCAUAAAAUUCACUACCCACCAUUUUAACUCCUUUCAUUUCUAAGAUAGAAAGAUGUUUAAGAGAGGGUAGCUGCCCGAGUGGUGGCAAUGACGAGCAAUUGUUACAAUUCUGAAGCCCCAGGUCAACAAGAUUGAAGAAUGAAGGAUCUCCUACCCAAUCUGGAAAGCUUAAACCACUAAAAGAAUAAAUAUGGAGUCUCUUGAGGUUUGUAUGUGGCUGUAAGCUGUUGAGUAUAUCCCUUCUAUUUUGCACAACACCACCAAGGUCAGUGUUCUCAUAAUCCCACUCAAACUUCAACUCAUCAAGGUACUUUUUAUCCUUCAUAUUAGCUUCUAAUGCAUCCCUAUCACAUACUACAUUCCCCAACUUUGAAAUGACAAGACUUCCCGAAAGCUCCCUCAAUGCUCCCAAUCUUAACCCACCAUUUUGGCCCACAAUAAAUGUAGAAAGUGAUUGUAAAUUCUUUAGCAUACAUGUAUCACUUGGCAUCUCUUUCAACCCACUACCAAUAAUAUCAAGGUAACGCAAAUUAAUCAAUUUUUCCAUCCUUGAGGAUAAUUCAACGAGACAAUGACAUCCCAAUAACAUCAUUGUUUGUAAAUUAUACAAGUUACAAACUGAUUCACGCAACAUUUGAAUCCUUGUCCUAGAGAGAUCCAAGUAGCGCAAGUGUUUCAACUUCUCAAUCGAAUGAGGCAAAUCAGUAAUAAGAUAACCAUUUAAACACAACACUCGUAAACAUUUCAUUUCCGGCAAUAGAUGGUGUAGAACUCUAUUACUUAAAAAGUUAUAUUGAAAGUACUGAUAUUUGCUUAUUGGUAAAAAUGUUCGGAGACACUAAUUUGAGAAAGUGGAUCAAAUCUCUCAUAGACAUCAUAUUCAUUAAUCAAAUAUGAUAAAUGACAAGUUUUCUCCGAGACUUUGUAUAUCUUACCAUCCUCCAAAGAAGUAGAAAAUUCUCCCAAUACCAAUUGUGCCAUGUCAUUAACGAGGUCGUGCAUUACAAAACAUGAGUCAUUGCUAAUUGAAUUUUGAAAAAAUGACUUUGAUAGAAGUUCUUGAAAGUACAAAUUACCUACCUCUUCCAUUCUUUUCUUGCUUUUUGAUUGUUCCAACAAACCUUCUGCCAUCCAUAACAAAACUAGCUUCUCAUUUUCGAAUUCGUAGUCUUUGGGAAAGAUUGAACAAUAAGAAAAACAACGUUUUAGAUGUGAAGGAAGGUAAUAAUAACUCAACCUCAGAGCAGGAAGAACCGCAUCUGUGGGCAAAUCCCAUAAUUCACUGUUUAAUACAUCAUCCCAUUCUCUUGCUUCAACCUUGGAGUGUAGGAGACUCCCCAUUGCUUUUAUAGCCAGCGGUAGACCUUGGCACUUGUGGACAUUCUUUUCUCCGAUUUCUUCUAGUUGUGGAUGCCCACUUGAGUCUCCAUUUUCAAAUGCAAGUUUUUUGAACAGUGACCAACCAUCUGCAGAGGAUAACCCACCUAAACAAUGAGUAUGGACUGCACGCAUGGCAGAUGCAACAUUGGUGCUUCGUGUAGUUACAAUAAUCUUGCUUCCCUUUGCACCGACUAUGAGUGGAGUUCGUAGCAUGUCCCAGUCACAAGAGUCUUCGUUCCAAACAUCAUCCAGGACAAGUAAAAAAUUCUUCAUAUUAAUUCUUUCCUUCAGUUGAACCUGAAGUAGAUUUAGAUUAGUGGUACUGGACGUGGAUGAAUUGACCGCCUCGAGAAUUGUUUUCGUAACUCUGAUAGGAUCAAAUUCUUCGGAAACACAAACCCAUGCCUUGAUUUCGAAGUGUUCCUUCACCCUUUGGUCAUUGUAGAGGAGCUGGGCAAGUGUGGUUUUGCCCGUGCCACCCAUGCCGACUAUGGAGAUCACACCCAUCGCAUCAGUACUCCUUGCAUUAUCGGACAGCAACAGUUGAACCAUCUCCUCCUUAAUUUGAUCCCUGCCAUAGACAAGAGAUUCAUCUACCAAAGAAGUAGAAGGCCACCUUUGUGACAGUUUCUCGCCAUCACCUUCUUUCAACCCAAGGACGUCUCUGUCUCGUGCCAUAUCUUCUAGUCUAUCAAUGAUCUCCUCCACCCUAGACUCUAUGCCCUGACCAUCAAAUGGAGCGAGAACCCAGGUUGACAUGUCCAUGAUGUUACCCACCUGACUUGUGCUGGUUUGGGACUCCGCAGCUUCCACCUUGUAUCGCAAAGCCUCUGUGGCGAUCUCAUCCAAUAUGUCCUCCGCAUCAUACACGGCCUCUUUAAGCAAGACCAGCCACUUCUUCACAUAUGGAUUUGUAAACUGUUUGACCUCAGCAUCGUUGAGCACUGCAUGGACCACCAGCAACUUCCUUUCCAACUUCUUCAGGAGCGCAUCGCUGAGCGUCUGUGUUAUAUAUAUAUAUAUAUAUAUAUAUAUAUAUAUAUAUAUAUAUAUAUAUAUAUAUAUAUGUAUAUAUUGUUGGUUAAAAAAUAAAGUGUAAGAAGAGUUACACUUUUGAAAAUAACUUUUGGAAAAUAAAGUGUAAGAAGGGUUACACUUUUAAAUGUGUGAAUUAAACAUAUGAUUUAAUUUUGAAUGUUACAAAGAUGAAGAGGUUGAGGAAGACAAUGAGUCUUCUCAUCUUUGUAACUUUAUAAACUUAAGAGGUUAAGUGUAAGAGAGUUACAUAUUUGAGAUUAAAUCAUGUUUAAUGUGUGAAUUAAACAUAUGAUUUAAUUUUGAAUGUUACAAAGAUGAAGAGAUUGAGGAAGACAAUGAGUUUUUUCUCAUCCUUGUAACCUUUUUUCAACCCUAAGAGUGCUAUAUAUAUGACUUUUCUUCUUUUUGAAAUCUCAUGUAGAAAAGUGAAAAGGCUUUAUCAAUCCCAAGACUAUUUCCAUUUAGUUCCCAAAAGAUUUCUAGAGGUGGGAGGAAAUAGAGUCUUUGGACAAAGUUCCAAGAACUUGUUUGAGUCUUUCUUGUGUUCUUCUUCUUCUUGUUCUUAUUUUGUAUCUAAGAGAGUUUUAUUGUAUCAAAGUGAGUGUGUGAGAGUGUUUCUUUUCUCCAUUGUAUCCAAAUUUUAUCAACAGUCUGCCCCCGGAUGAAGCUCAUAACCUCGCGAGAAGCCAACCUGUCAAAUAGAACUUGGAGAGAAGCUGAGAGAAACGCACCUCCAACUAAAGCCCCUGCCAUUUCUGUUUCUCUUGCAAAGGAGGUGAAAGAUGAAUCGAGGGAAGAAGAAAGCAAGCAGACCCAAAAUGAAACCUCCAAACCAGAAAAAAAAAUUAUAGAGAAAAUCCAACUUGUUGACGGUAAAGGAACUUUGGAUUCCAAAGUUUUCAUGGUAGACCCCCCCAUAUGCCAGCUUUCUUUGCCGACAACAAACUUCAUUGGUCAAUAUAUAGAAAAUGAAAAUUUGAUUGAAGAUUUUCAUCCUUCGUACAUGAUUUUCCUUCCAUUGUGAUAAAAACGUAGACUUAAUUGAAGCUUCAUGAAAGCCAUCUUCUGACUUUUUCUGGAUUUCAUUAUUGAUUAAAUGAAAAGUUUUGGUUGUAAAUCAAUGUAUUUUGAGAAUUAAAUGAGAUUUAUAUAAAAAAAAAUAUAUGAAAAUUUACUUUUAUUGUGUGCUUAAUAUACAAGUAAGGUGAAAAAAAUUAUCAGGUUUUGAUUUGGAUCAAGGGUUAAAUCUUGGGGGAUCAUGAUUAAAGAAUGAUAUUAUAAAUAUAUAAUUUAUACAUCAAUUAAAAAUAACUCACAAAAAUUAAAAUUAUUUGUAAAUAUUUAAAAUAAUUGAAAUAUUUUAUCAUUUUAUGUUUAAUAUUAUUAUAUUAAAUCGUGAUAAGAAUAAAAUAUAAAUUUAUUAAUAUUUUUAUUUUACUAGUUACUAAAAAUAUUAUAUUUAAUUAUUGAAAGAAUGUAUUAUAUAUAAAAAAAUAGAAUAAGAUUUUGAUAUUUAUUUUUUUCAUUUUAUAUUGUAUAAAUCUUGUUAAUAAUUUAGUGUGAAUAUAUACAUGAAUAUCCAUUAUAUUCAUUUUAAUAUGAAUAUUAAACCCAAAUUGUUUAAGUUUAAUUUUUAGGAAAAUUGGUUGUUUAACAAGAUCGAUGGUUUAAGUGGUUCAUUGGGUAAGAUUGUUCAAUUUCUCAAUAGUAGGAUGAUUGGUCGAUAUUCCAACAGGUCGAAUUAUCCAAUUUGGUUCAAUUUUUAAAACCUUAAUUAAUAAGCAACAACAUGUAAUUUCUAGAUGGAUUAUGAUUCUUAUAUCAAAUUUCAAUAGAAUCGUUAAUGUAUAAAGUUUUUUCAUACAUAGAUACUAUGGAUUUGUUUGGAAAAUUUUGAAAAACAAUUCUUAGUUAUUUUGAGGAAUAAAAUUCUAUUUGAAAACUCAAAUAUAUAUAUAUAUAUAUAUAUAUAUAUAUAAAAGGCUUUAUUAAUUUAUUUUUUAUAAAAGUAUCAUGCAUUUAUGUAUAAUUCAAAAGUUUUUAAAAUAUUUUACAUUUUUUUAAUUAUUACUCACAACUCAAGCAUGCACAAAAAAUAACUAAAAACAUCUCAAAUUUAUUAUAAAAAAGUUAUUUUUAGAAUACAUUCUCAAAAAAUUAUUUUGUAUAAAAAAUGUUCUAUAGAAAAAAAAUAAAAAUUCAAAAAUCAUUACUAGGCAAGCCUAUGCUACUGUGGAUGCUUUGGACAAAAUGAAAAAGAAAAAUAGUAUUUUUCAAUACCAUUUGAAAUCAUGAAAAUACCAUAACCUUGCAUACAAUAUAUGGGUCAAGGCCUUUAAAAAAAAAAAUUUCUUUUUAUUUGGAUAUCUAACUUGGGAUUCAAGGUUUAAUUAGGAAUUUGGUCAUUCAUCACCAUUUUCAGUGGUUGAAAUUCUUAGGUAGACUUGGUUGUUGACUUGGUAGUUCACAUUAAGCCAUAUGGACUUCAGACCCACCCACCAGAAAUGAAUGAAAAUAAAGGCAAAUAAAAAGCUAUUUUCAAGAAUCAUUACCAAACAAGCCUAUGUUGUUGUGGAUGCUUUCGACAAAAUGAAAAAAAAAUGGUAUUUUUAAUACUAUUUGAAAUCAUAAAAAGACCAUAACCUUGCAUACAGUAUAUAUGGGUCAAGGCCUUUUCAAAAAAAUAAUUUCUUUUUAUUUGGUCAUUCGGCACCAUUUUCAUUGAUUGAAAUUCUUUCGUAGACUUGGUUGUUGACUUGGGAAUUCACAUCAACCCAUGUGGACUUCAAAUUCACCUACCACAGAAAUAUGAAAAUAAAGGCAAAUAUGAAAGGCAAGUGGUGGUGAUAGGAAGACUCUUAUCAGUAACUUUUGUCAGGUACUGGAGCUUAGGGCGGCUGUAGACCAAUGUCAUCGUGAAUCUUAUCAAUCCCUAUUAUUGAUUGUUAGGGUUGUAGCUUAAGAAAAUAUCUUCAAUCAAUCAAAUGAUGCAUCCGCAAAUCCAAGUCUCCAGCAAAAUUUAAAUUAUUAUUGAAUUUGUAGUUUGACAUCCACACACAUUCUUUCCACAUCAUUUGAUGGCCCUUUAUGGAUUAUCUAUAAAUUCAGAGUACUUUGGAUUUGAGGGCCAUGAAGGAAAAAAUGACAGUGGUAAAGAAGGAAAAAGUGGAACUGUAAUUAGCUUGGCCCUUGAGAAAUAUUUUUUGGGCACACUGUUCCAUCAUUUGGCCAGAACCAAAAUCCUCAAUGUGUCAAAGUGAUGUUGUACAAAAUUCCUUACAGGUUAAUAAUUGUCGACACAUUUCUGCCAUGAAUACAUAAGCUGGUUGUAUUAGAGCUCUCCACAUUACUGAGACAAAUGGGCUCCUGCCAUGAAACAGUUGAUUUUUUCCAAGGAAAUGAAAAUUUUGUCCUAGUUGAUUUCCAAUGACCCAUCCUUAUAUCUGCUUGCUCAUUUUUCCAUUUUUGGAGUUCAUUCUUUUGCUCCUUAAUUGUCUAAGCUCUGAUGGAUGCUAAUCUUAAACUGUGUAGCACUAGCCAACCCUGUGGAAAUGGAAAACAUGGUAGUUAGGUGUGGCCAAGAAGUCUCAGAGCUCUUCGAUCGUUCUGAAAGAGGCAGGAAUUGAAGAAAUUGUUGAAAUCAUGAGUGGAUUUUGAAGAGAUGGUAAGGAAGCCUCCAACAUCAGCAAACUUCAAGUGAGGAUAGCAGUUAUGAGUAGGAUGUUGGUGAAGAGCCUGCAAGCUGGGGAUGCCAUGUUUGAGAGAGUAUCCCAUGCUGUUUAUUUGGCUGCGAGAGUAGUAGUGCUUGCAGGGAAUGGCCCUCAAGGAAGAAAAUUAGCAGAAAUGGCACUCCGGCGGGUGGGAGGCUUUGAUCUGACUGAUAGAGUGGUGGCAACAGCCAUGUGUAGGUUAAUGUUCAUGGGCAAUGGUUUGCUUAUCUGACUGAUAACAUGUGAUUGGUUUGUCAUGAAGAAGGAAGUUAAUUGCGAGGUGGAAAGAAGAAAAUAAUGAACACACCCUGUACAUAGUAGUGGGUGUACAUUUUUGUUUUAAGUAUGAACACAGGAUGCAAGGUUAUUAAUAUGAAGAAAUAUUUCAUGAAUAGGAGAGAGGGACGUUGUAAAUAAUAUUUAUAACAUUUGGGACACAAAUUAUUGCUUUUAGAUUUCAUAUUCAAGUUUCUCUUUCAUUGGGAUAUAAAUUGUUGCAGUGUAUGAAGAUAUUAGGAACUACUGGGUGCAAAGUUGGUUAAAACUAUUGUGAUUGUUCAUAUAUCAAGAUGGUCUGUGUCUUUGCUGCUGUCUUCCAUGGGGAGAGCCAUGGGGUACUGUUUCAUUGGAAAGAAAGAUCAUUUCCAAAUGUCUAGUGAUAAAAUCAAAUUGAAAGCCUGCAGGGAAUAUCAAUAAAUUAGUCCAUGGAAGAGAAUUUGAGGCUCUUGAGUAUAUAUCAAGAAGACAAGUCACUUAUUAUAGCUGGAGAGCUGCUUGGCACCAUGUCUUAUGACCAUAGGCAACAAUGACUCCAUAGUUAAUUUGUGUAUCAGGACAUUUGAGACCAGAACUGACAAUUCAAUCUUAAUAUUGAAGUACAAGAUGUUGAACAUCAACUUCUGUGAAGGAUUGGAGUUUAGAGCAAGUAGAUAUGCCCUUAAAGGAACAGUUAGAUGUCAAUUAAAACUGACCUAAAUUGGCUAGAUCGAAAUGGUACUUCAAACACAUAUUGAGAGGUGCUUUGACUUUUUCUAUGUUUCUGCCUUACAAGGAAGAAAAUACUUCAAAAAAUCCACAUAAUCAUUGGUAAGUACAAGAAGACCCCAAUAUUCUGUGUCUGCUUUCAACUGCUGUGUUGGAAGAAAAAGAAAAAAAAAAAACCCUCUAAUUGAAGGAAGGGGGCAAAUUAGCAUAAAAUGCUACUUUCCCAUGCCACGGUCUUUUGUAUUAUGAAGCUUUGAACCAUCUCAACCCAAAGGAUAUCCAUCAAUCUAAUAGUUCAUCAUGAUUUUCAAAACACAGGUUUGCAUGCAACAAUGACACUAAAGAAUAAAGAUUGAUGCUAGUUUCAAAGGACUACUGAGUCAGACAUUUGUUUUCCGUUGGAGAUGGUGCCCUAAUCAAGAAGAUGUUAAAGGGUGAUUAGACUUGGAAGUGUCAUAACCACCUGAAAGAAAACAAUCACAAAGACAUGGACAGAUGCACAAAAGAUGUAUGUAUCCAUUAACAAAUGGUUAAUUGAGAGGAAGACAUCAUUUUGAAACUAAAAGGAUUUCGGGUUUCUUAGCUUUGGUAGUAGCACACCCAACAUCUCCUUGUUUAAUACAAAUCAUCUUCCUAGCACUAAAACAGCAGCAUCUUCAGGCGCCUUUGCAGAAGCUCUCAGCACCAGUUAAUGAAGGUGACUCAUGAGGGAUGGUCAAAGGACUGGCUGAGAUAUCUGAAACAGAAGACAUGUUUAUUAUCUGUCUGUGAAUAACUAGUCAGAGGCAUGUUUCGGUAUCAUUUGGGGUAUAAGUUAAUGGAUUUCAUGUUUCACCUUUAAUUUUCUAUUUCUUAUUUAUUAUGUACUUUAAGCUAAAGUACAUAGCUGUUGUGGGACAUGGAAACAAGGCUCUGUAAUUCAUCACUAACAAUGUUCUGGAAAAUUCCAAUUAAAGUAAUAUUUGAUCAUAUCUUGCAGAUUAGGUACCCUAGAACUAAGGGCUUGAGCAAACUUGUCUAUUGCGUAAAGAGAGUAAAGAAGCUUAACAUAACGUCCUUCAUUCCUUCUAUUCAGAAUUAGGAAAUUGAAUGAGAACAAAUCAAGUUACAGUAUUCUUCAGGAUGUAAAAAUCUUUCAAAACAUCUGACUCUGUUGAUACAAACAAUGGGAAUUCCCCCAAUGAGAAGCACUGGAACAUUGUCAAUUCUAAGAAAAGGAUCCUGGUUCUGAUUUCUGAAUAGGGUACAUGAGAGUGAUCUAAGUGAUCAUCCCAACAGCAACACCAUGUAUACAGAAGACCUAAGAAAGACCAAAACAAGAACAAAAUGACAUCAAAAUUAGGAAAGAAACAAAUGCAGCAAAAUCAUAACAAAGAUACUAUAUUCCUGUAUCCUUGCCUUUCAAAUGUGACUAAUUGGUGAUCUCUCACUUUAUGCAAGCAGAAGCACAGCAAACACCAUCUCUGGUAAAAUGCUGACUGCCAAACCAAUACAGAGCAACCUCAUUCAAACUUGACCAGACUUGACCAAUUCCAGUUAAGUUUUUAGGCACUGAAAGAGCAGAACCUUCCUCAGGCCACCUUUCAUUCCCAACAACCUUUGAAAUAAUUUUGUUACAAAUUUAAGUAACAAAUCCUUAUUUUUUGAAAAGCAUAAGCCAAAAGAAAACAUACCUGUUUCUUUCUGGUUAGGUAUAAGAUAUCACACAUUUCAACCUCAUACAACCUACAAAAUGAUGUAAGAACAACUUGUAAUUUGCAGAUUACGAAGAGCGUCUCCUUUGUUGUAUCCUCAGAAAAUGGACCAAAGCAAUUCAAAAAUUUCUCUAACCAUAAAUGUGCCCUUUUAUGCUUAUGUAAGAGAAAAUCAGAAAUCAGCCUUACCCAUUCCAAAGAAAAUGUAACUGAGUCAUUGAGAAUAUAUAAGUGACUUUGUUUGGUAUGAGCUACCUGGGAAGAAAUCAUUGUUCAUUCUUGAUAUCUUUGUUCCUGAUUUGUACCAAACAAACAGAGCAUAAAAUUGACUUUUGUUAAUGCAUAAUUCUUGAAUAGAGUUGAGAAGUGUAUGAAGAUUCUUAUGAUUGUCCAUGAGUAGAACUAUUGUGAUUGUCCAAGGGGAGUUGACCUUGGGUGUUGAAAAUUAGCAAUGAAAGAGUUGAGGGCAUGUAACUUGGCUGUUGUCUUCCAUGGGCAGUCAUUGAAGAAAGAUCAUUGCCAAAUGUCUAGUGAGAAAAUCACAUUGAAAGCCUGUA